AGACGGUAAUUGAAAGCGAGACAGGUGAAGAGUGUUUCGUUUGGAUUCAUCGUGUCAGAUCUCUUUGCUAGUCCCAAGGUAUCACGGAAGAACCUCAGAAAUCAGUAUCAAAACCAUACAGCGCUUUCUUUUUGACUUUGGAGUCAUAAGAUUGUUGUUUUCUUCUAGAUUUUUUCGAAUAACUAUCUAUAUCUAUAUACUUUUACAUUAUAUAUUUUGAAAUAUGUAUAUUGGCAACCGUGUGGCAGAUUGUAAAAGUGCCAAACGACCUGAUCACCGCCCGAUCCGGUCUCACACGCUUCGGUCGCUCGAUAUGCCUUGUGCGUGAUCCCGUCGUUAGUUCCCUUUUUUUUUCACUUUUCUCUUCAGGUGUGGUCUCGCUCGUUCCGCCUGUGCGCCUAUGGCUUUUUCUCCUUCCUCCUAUCGGCGUCGUGAGCUGCGCCAAGCCAUCGGCCGGGAUCCCCCGGCGUGACCUCCCCGAUUGAUGCUCCGCGGUGGCGCGAUGGGAGACGUUGCGGGGUCGGCGCCCCGGCGCCUGCUGCAGCCGCAUGCCGCCGCCUUCCGCACCUCCCAGGCAAUCGUCAACGUCGCCGUCGGCACCCACCCCCCUCUCUCGCGUCUCUUUCUGGGUGCCACGACAGAGCUAACUCGGAGGGCGGGUUCAGUGAUCCGGUCUCUGCUGUUGAUCUGGGUAUGACGGCGCCUGAAUCGGAUUACUGAAUGUGGCAACAAAACCUUUACAUGUGUAUACAUAGGUUGAAUGAACUAACAGAAACCGAGAAUUGUCACAUUAUUAUUGAUCUGAUUACUGGUCCUAGCAUUAUUAGCUCAACAGUUUCUUGCGCCUAAGAUGACGGAGCGGUUUUGUGAUAGUAGUUGUUAGCUGGGUGUAAUUCUAUCAUGUGUAGCCAGAAGUACAGAUUUCAAAGUCCAACCAACCUUUUGCCUAUUUUUCUUACUGGGCUAAAUGCCAUUUUUUAUCUCAACGUUGGUUCUUAUUUUUGUUUACCUCCACGCUGAAGCACUCCAGGAUAGGGUGAUUAAGGAGGCUCAAACGAUACCGUCUUCAGUAGGACAGGAUGAUCCAACUGUUGAAGGAGAAGGAUUGUGAUGGCUGAAACAUAUAGCAAGUAAAUGUAAAAAAAAAUUCAAAUCAAACAAUACAUAAUUCAUUCAGUAACCUUCUCCUUGAAUUAAUGGCAAAAGCAGCAUAUAAGGUCUUUAGUCUGAAGGAAGAAACGAGGUGGUGUAACCUGAUCUAACGUGGAUAGCUACUAGUACUAUUCUAACUAGCUGUUGGGGCGCGCCCAUAGCGCGCCGCCUGGGUGGCAGCUGGUGCGGUGCCAGGUUGACGAGCGCCUUUUCAGCUGGUUGUGGCUCUAAUUGGUAGCACAUAUGCAUGUACAGCUUAGGAUUUUUUUAAUGAAUGGCAGCCAAAGCCUUAGAGGUGAAAGUAUAAACAAAGGGGGGUAGCAGUGAGCUAUCUACCUGCUUACAAGAUGCACUACACAUACACUGGCUUCUUCAAAAGUGUAUCAAAUUCGGCAAAUAAACAAGCAAUCUUAGGACUGUAUCUAGCACCUCUCCAUGUCAUUGUAUUGCAGCCACGAGGAUUUGCCACUACAGAGCAGCUGCUCAUCCACCCAUCGUCGAGGUUUUCCAGGUCGUUCUUGUUUUGCUCGCCAUCGUGCAGUCCACAUCCCUCUCGCGACAUCGAAGAAGUACUGACUGUUGUCGUAGAUGCCAGGGAGAGUGUCCAGGACGGAGGGCACAAUGCAGAUGAUAAACUGGAUCACGUCCGUGCAGGGAAUUCUAGUUCGACAUAGUGCGACCAGUCGUUGCGCCUGCCGCCGAGGCCGGCGUGGCUGUGGCACAUCUUGAGCAGGCAGAGGUUGUGAGUCGUGCACUCGUGCUCCCCUUGCGUGCCCAAAGCACCACUAGCCGCAGCAGCCAACACAUCUGAUCAGGACCUUCCUUGUCGUUUUACAUUCAUUUUUCUUGAACCUAAAGCCUUAGAGGUUGACUGAUGAAAAUAUGACAAGAGAAGAACUAAAGAUUAAUUUAAUUAACCUCUAUGUCACCCCAAGCAAUCCUAUCAUAUGGGUUAGCCCGCCGGUUGCACAGAUUACCUAAAGUUCUCAUAGGAAGUCUGCAAAGGUGAAAGAUUGGAUGAUUACGAAGUUGCGACAAAAUGAUUUAAACAUUAAGAGUUACAAAUAGAGAAAAGGAGGAAAGGGAAGCGCCUGAUUGUUGCUUUUCAGGUAGAAAUGAAAGACAAAAGGACCAUGGUGCACUAAAGUGAAACAAAUACUGACGUAAAUGUAGCAAAGCUAUAAAGUGGCUUGCUGACAUAUUUGAAGUCUGAAUACAUAGUUGAUGUAGAUUAUACCAGAAUCAUAUGUAACCGAACAUUCAAAAUUCGGCAGUAUCUAAAACUAAAUUUAAAUAGUAUCAACCAAAACCAGGUUUGAUACAUGUAUGCAAUCAUAGCAAUACUUAUGUUAUGACACAUUUAUUUUGCAAUUUGCUUAUACUAAAACUGAAAAGCAUAUUAACUGCUGCUGCUACAUGAUUCCCUUAUGAACUGGAACAAGGACCUAUUCUUCGAAAGAAAUCACCAGUCUAAAUAAGGGAAGUAAACCAUGGAGUAUUGAGAAGGACUCACCAUACCAUAGUGUACUUAUUAUAAAGCUGAGCACGGACAAAGCAAGGAGGAAGACUAAACAGACGAUUCACGAACAAUGACAAACUGCCUGCUCACUUAACAUCAACCUGCGAAAAAAGAGCACAUAUCAGCACAUAGAAGAGCAGCAGCACAGCCUAAGCAAAAAAUAACAUCCAGUGCAAUCAAAAUCACCUCCAUGGCGUCCAUCAGGAGACCGAUCAAACAAUUAGAUGAACUAAGAUUGGCCUCCCUCCUUGCCUGCCUCCCAGACAAUGUUUGUCCCUCCUCCCUGCAACACGCAUAAUUCAGCAAGACGCCAGAGCAAUCAACAGAGGGCCACCUCGGUGUGUGAUAGGCCACCACAUUUGGUCAACUGGACUACUUCACCUCAUCUUUAAAAGCUUUCAUGAGUGAUUUUUGAAAGCAUGGCUAAAUCACAUUUUACGUGCUUCAAACAUAUAGCGAAAAAACGUACAGUUACUUCUAGCAAUUCAUCAAACAAUUGGUGUGCACAACCAAAAAAGGACAUACAGAAUCAAGGCAGUCAACCUCUGCCACCUUAGAGGGAUUUCACCGCCUCAGAUUUCGAGCUUACGUGAGAGAAGGCGAGGUAGUCAGGGAGGUAGUGGGGUAGAGGUGUAGAUCAAAGCAUGGAGGAAAUGAAGUGGAGACAGCGGCUCAGAUCUACGGCUUGGCAUCGCCAGAACCAUUGACCUGACUUCCCGUGGUCCCAAUAACCCCUGGCGGCGCACCUGACGCCGUGGUGGAUGCCCGAGCCCAGGCCUCGGUACCGGUGGCGUCGCGACGCGGAUGACUUCGCUAGGCCAUUGCAUGUCCAAUCACUCGCAGUCUUCAUCGCUCAGAAGCACUGAAUCCAACAGCCCAAUCAAAUCAACACAUCUAGAGACCUAUAGAGGGGAGGAAGGGCAUACCAUGUCCUCGAGAAGGAUGUGCUGCAGGCCGGACGGGGUGGUGUCGACCUGGGUGGCCUCGGCCAGCAGUGGCGACCUGCCGUGCGGGCAAGGUCGACGACAAGGAUGCGGGCGCCGGGGAUGAACUCCACAGGGCGCAGGUGCUCCCCCUCCUCGCCGGACGGCACGGGCGCGCUAGCUCUCUUCUGUGCCGGACUCCGAUCUGGUCGCUGCCUCUCACGCUCGCUGUUGUCUUCCCGAUGGCACCCCAAAUUCGGCGCCGCUCAGCGGGAGAAACGAGGAGUGGAGGAGGCGGUUGCGUGCGCGUGUGGUGCGAGAGGAGACGUGCGUGAGGGGCUUGGGGAUCAGAGGUGGGAGUGGAGCAGCUGGCCAAUCAUAAGACAUCGCCCAAUCCACGCGAUAAUUUUCAGGCACUCCAACCCAUUCACUAGCUCAAGUUCUUUUUGUCGUACCUAUGCCGACGUGGCUAGCAGGAGAGAUCGCACAUUGUGCGACUGUUAUUGGGUUGUAUUGCAACUUUAUCCUUGUAUGCCUCGAGAAGAAAAAUGAGAGAAGAUGUUAUGGAGUUGAACUCCUGACAUUACUGAAUGUGGCAACACAACAUUUACAUGUGUAUAUAUAGGUUGAAUCAACACAGCCUUAUGACCUUUGACAUUGUUAUUCAUAUGAUAAUCUGUCAUGACAUUAUUAGGCCAAUAGUCUCUCUCUUUCAUGUUGAGACAAGAGGCUAGCUUGCUGACUAGUAUGAUCCAUGCAUGCAUCCACACUAGUCAUUCUUGAUUACACCUAGGACACCUUUUGGGCCUUAAAGAGUUAUUGACUCAGAAAAAAAGUUAUUGCAAACAAACCCCUAGUAAUUUCUAGUAAAUAGCACGGUAAUAUACGCAAUGCACAUUUGAUAACUUACACAACAACACUACGAAACUUUAACCUGGGGAAUAAGGUUGUUAGAAACAUACCCACGGUAAAUUCUAUGUAAGUAGCAUGGUAAUAUCUCCAUCACAAACCUGAUAACUUAGGUACAAACAGCUUGGUAAUUUUAACCAUGGGAAAAAUUGUUGAAAAGAUUUCCCCAGUAAUUACGGACUCCUUUAAUCGCUACAGUGGCCCUCUCAUGAUUCAAACUGAUUGCAUUGUUCCUAUAUGGUGGAUGGAAUUUUUUUUGCAAAUACAAAAUAGAUCGCUCCCUACCAACCCCUACCUUUUUACUCUGUCGCCCACCGUCCAAAUCCAUGAGUUUAUCCAUGUGUGAAUAGCUUGGUAAAACAGGAAACACCGACUUGAUAACUUGGGUGCAAACACCAUGGUAAUUUUGUCCAAAGAGGGGAAAAUUGUUGAAAAAUAUACCCCGAUAACUUAUGUAAAAAUAGAACGUUAAUAUACGAAUCGUAUACCCAAUAACUUACGUACAAACACUGCUGUGACUUUGACUAAAGGGCAAAAAAGUCGUCGAAAAACAUAACCACGAUAACUUAAGUGAAAAUAGCACGGUUAUAUAUGAACCGCAAAACCCGAUAACUUACGUACAAAUACCAUGAUAAGUUUGAUUCGAGUGGACGAAGUUAUUGAAAAUAUACCUCAGGAACUCAUGUGUAAAUAGCACGGUAAUAGUCUUGAUUUGGGGAAGAGUAGUAAAAAGUGGUCGAGAAAUACACAUGGUAACUUUUUGUAUGUAAAUAGCAUAGAAAUUACACACCACAACCUCGAUAGUUUAGGUCCAAACACCGCGGUAAAUUUGAUCUGAAGGAAAAAAUUGUUGAAAAGAUACCCCGUAACUUCUGUGUAAAUAGCAUAGUAAUAUACCCAUCACAUACCUGAUAACUUACGUACAAAUACCAUGGUAAUAUUUGACACCGUGGGGAAAUUGUUAAAAACAUACUCCCAUAAAUUUUGUGUAAAUAGCAUGAUUACAUACGCAUCACAUACCUACGUACAAACACCACGGUAAUCUUGAUCAAGUGGAAAAAAUGUUAGAAAAAUACCCCCCUAACUUAUAUGAAAACAUCAUGGUAACACUAAUAGGGAAAAUCCUACUAGUAGCGCGGGUUUUGAGGCUAGCAGUAGCGCGGGCAGCCGCGCUACUAAUACGACGCUACAACUAAUUGUUAGUAGUAGCACGGUCAUUACCCGCGCUACUACUGUUGACAAUAUCAACAACGCUUUUCUGGAAUGCGCUACUAUUAGUUAACUGCAGCGGUUUCCUAGCCCCUCGCUACUUCUAUAUCUUUCAUCAUUUUCCCAUUUCGGUCCAGAUACUAGGUUUCGGUCCAGAAACUAGGUGUAACAUCCCAAAUUUUCAAUUUGGAAUGUUAUACAUAGGUCAUCAUUGCAUAUCAUAUUUUAUUGCAUUUUGGCUGAUCCUAGAAAUUCUAAGCAACUCAAGGACCCACGGAGAGAGUUGGGAAUUUUGUUAUUUUCAUAUUUGAGUUUUCUCAAAUUUUGAAAAGAGGAUCAUUUGGUUUUAAUCAUUUUUCUCUUCGAAUAUUUCUAAUAUGAAAAUAAAAGAGAGAGGAUAAAAAUGACUUCUCCAAAUAAAAGAAAUAUUGGAGGAAAAAUAUUAAAAUCAAAUAAGAAAUUUAUUUGGACUUUUAUUGCUAUAUUAUUCGAAUUAGGAAAAAAAUGCGUUUUUCAAAAUUUCAUUAGUGGCCCAAAUAAAUAUUCACUUUGUCCGCAAUAUUAUUAGAGGACCGUGAAAAUUUAUUUCAGGAUUUUUGGACUCCGUAUAGUAUUGUUUUUGUUUGUUUUUCCGCGUCAGAUUUACUUUUUAAAAAAGUGCACCGACCUAAACGGGCCGUGCCCGACCCAGCCACCACCCGGCCAGGCCUUUAAAGCCCGACGCCCGACCCCGCUGAUGAAGCUAUGUACCUAGGGUAGGGUCAUGGACCUGUCCAAACUACCCUACCCAAGGACAUCUCUAGAAGAAACCACCUGUCAAUCGACUCAGAAGUGUUCCACUCGACAGACUCGAAGACACUCGACCAUGAAGCCAACCACUCGACAGUGAGGAGACCUAAAGUCACUCUGCACACAAAUGGUCGGUCAUUAAGUAGCUUUUAUGGUUAUCAUAGCACUUUAUUUGUAGCGUUACCAGUAACGCCCGAUCUUAAUGUAUCUUAAACCCUGCAUAACUGAGGGCCGGAGGGGUCUGGCGAACUCUAUAUAAGCCACCCCCCUCCUCAGUGUAAAGGGUUCGCACCCCUGUAACUCAUACACACAUAAUCCAGUCGACCGCCUCCGGGCUCCGAGACGUAGGGUUGUUACUUCCUCCGAGAAGGGCCUGAACUCAUAAAUCCCUUGCGUAUACAACUACUCCAUAGCUAGGAUCUUGCCUCUCCAUACCUACCCCCCUAUACUACUGUCAGACUUAUAACCACGAUAUUUGGCGCCCACCGUGGGGCAGGUGUCUUAGCGACUUAUUGGAGAAGUUGCGAUUUUUUCCGAUCUCCUUCAUCAUGGUUUCAGGCGGAGUUUUGGUUGAGGGCCGCGAGAUCUGUCUCGGCGCGCUCACGUUCAUCGCCGACGACUCUACUUGGCUUUAGGAGGCUCCGCUCGACGUCGACGCGCUCCCAGUCCGCGGAGCGACACACUUUCGCGCGUGCGUCCGCGGCGUCCUCCUGCGGCAACCAUCGACCCAGUAUCAGUCGGUCUUUAUGUCGUCCUCCCUCUCUGUUUCCCGUCGCCGCAAGCGCUCCAGUCGGUCGAGGCUUCAGCGGUGGGUGAGGCAUGCGGUGGCUCGCCAGUCGGCCACCCCCCAAGUCGCGGUGAUCGAGCCCGACGAAUCUCUCUACGGCCUGUUCGACUGGCUCCGCAGAGACUGCAUCCGAGUGCGACAGCAGCGAUCCAGCGGCGAAGGUUCUGAUGGUCGAUGGACCAUGCGGCCCUCCCGGUUUUCCCCACACCGACGAAGGCGACGGCGGAGGCGAUCCGUCUGUAGGACCUUGAAGUAUGUCUAGAGGGGGGGUGAUUAGACUACUUGACCAAUUAAAAACUUAACCUUUUCCUAAUUUUAGAGUUUGGCAGAUUUUAGCAAUCUUUGGACAAGUCAAGCAAUCAUUACGCAAUUCAAGCAAGCAUGCAAAGAGUAUAUAGGCAGGGAAAAAUAAAGCAUGCAACUUGCAAGAAUGUAAAGGGAAGGGUUUGGAGGAUUCAAACGCAAUUGGAGACACGGAUGUUUUUGUCGUGGUUCCGAUAGGUGGUGCUAUCGUACAUCCACGUUGAUGGAGACUUCAACCCACGAAGGGUAACGGUUGCACGAGUCCACGGAGGGCUCCACCCACGGAGGGUCCACGAAGAAGCAACCUUGUCUAUCCCACCAUGGCCGUCGUCCAUGAACGACUUGCCUCACUAGCGAUAGAUCUUCACGAAGUAGGCGAUAUCCUUGCCCUUACAAACUCCUUGGUUCAACUCCACAAUCUUGUCGGAGGCUCCCAAGUGACACCUAGCCAAUCUAGGAGACACCACUCUCCAAGAAGUAACAAAUGGUGCGUUGAUGAUGAACUCCUUGCUCUUGUGCUUCAAAUUAUAGUCUCCCCAACACUCAACUCUCUCUCAUAGGAUUUGGAUCUGGUGGAAAAAAGAUUUGAGUGGAAAGCAACUUGGGGAAGGCUAGAGAUCAAGAUUCAUAUGGUAGGAAUGGAAUAUCUUGGCCUCAACACAUGAGUAGGUGGUUCUCUCUCAAAACUGGUAACUUGGAAGUGUAGGUUUGUUCUGAUGGCUCUCUCCAUGAAUGAAGAGGAGGUGGAGGGGUAUAUAUAGCCUCCACACAAAAUCUAACCGUUACACACAAUUUACCAAACUCGGUGGGACCGAAUCAUCAAACUCGGUCGGACCGAUUUAGUAAACCUAGUGACCGUUAGGGUUUUCGGUGGGACUGACAUGCAACCCGGUAGGACCGAUAUGAUUAGAGUUAGGGCAUAACGUAAUCUCGGUGAGACCGAUUACACAAACUCGGUGAGAUCGAAUUUGGUAAUUAGCUAACCAGAGAGUUGGUCAGGUAAACUCGGUGGGACCGAUUCUCUCUUUCGGUGAGAUCGAAAAGUUACGAAAGGGAAACAGAGAGUUUACAUUGCAAUCUCGAUGGGACCGAUCACUCACUUUGGUUAGACCGAAAUGUUAUGAAGGGAAACAGAGAAUUACAAUCCCAUCUCGGUGAGACCGAGAUCCCUAUCGGUGAGACCAAUUUGCCUAGGGUUUGUGGCAGUGGCUAUGACAUUUGAACUCGGUGGCGCCGGAUAGAAAGAAUCGGUAGGGCCGAGUUUGACUUUAGGUUUAGGUCAUAUGUGGAUGUGAGAAAGUAGUGGAGGGUUUUGGAGCAUAUCACUAAGCACAUGAAGCAAGAGGCUCAUUAAGCAACACCUCAUCCCUCCUUGAUAGUAUUGGCUUUUCCUAUAGACUCAAUGUGAUCUUGGAUCACUAAAAUGUAAAAUAUAGAGUCUUGAGCUUUUGAGCUUGAGCCAAUCCUUUGUCCUUGAUAUUUUGAGGGAUCCACUUUCAUCAUCCAUGCCAUGCCAUUCAUUGAGCUUUCCUGAAAUAUUUGUCUUGGAAUAGCAUUAGCUCAAUGAGCUAUAUGUUGUUAUGAAUUACCAAAACCACCUAGGGAUAGUUGCACUUUCAGUCUCCCCCUUUUUGGUAAUUGAUGACAACAUAUAGAUCAAAGCUUUGACAAAUGAUAAUAAGAUUGAAAAAACAUCGUCGCUUUGAGAAGUAUGUGAUAAGCAAGAGCUCCCCCUAAAUUUGUGCAUAGUUUAAGAUUUGCUUUGGACUGCAAAUGCACAAGGAAUUAGGCUCAUGGGUUACUCUUCCAUGUCACAUACAUCUUGGUGGAGCGCUCAAAAUAAUAAAGAUUGAAUGCAUGCACUCAUCACCAAGAAAAGUGAAUGGUCAUAUAAAGAUAGGUAAGAUAAUAACAUAUAACAAGCAUAAGUGUAGCUUAUGAUCAAACACAUGAUCAUCAAUGUAUCACAGGUAUUUGCAUAGUAUCUCAAGCAAUCAAAAGCAAACAAAGUUCAACCAAGAAGACAAGAGAGAACAAAAGCAACACACUCUCUCUCUCUCGAAGCCUAUGAUCUAUACAUUUUUCUCCCCCUUUGGCAACAAGUUACCAAAAAGUCAUAGAAAAUGCAUAGGACUAUAUCGUCUCCCAGGCUUGGUCUUCAGGUGGUGGUGUAGAGAUGGCUCCUUGGACGAAGACUUCAGUUGAUGUGGUUGGAGCUGAAGAGUUGGUGCUGGAGCUGGUUGCAUUGGAGCUGUAGCUAGUGCAGAUGAAGUGGCUCUGGUGUCUGUCACUGGUUCUGCAGCUGAUCUCUGAGCUCGAGGCACUCUGGCAAAUGCAUCUGUAGUUGUCUUGCCCUUCCUCUCCUGCAUGUCAGCUGCUCCACAACUGACUGAUUCUCAGUUACUUUGACAUCUAAAUCAUAGAAUUUUUGUUCCAUGAUUCUUUCCAGGCUCUCCUGGUUUUGAGUUAGGGUGGCCAACCCCUUCUUAAUCCGCAGAGUUGAUGCUAUCAAGUAACCAAGUUGGUCUUGCUUGCUCUUCAAAAAGUACUCAGAUGCCUCUGCUUGAGUUGGCAUCUUGGCAGCCUUCUCUUUCCUUGCCUUUUCCUUCUUCUCUUGAGCUUGCACUGAUGAUGGUUCAUUCUCAUUCAUGACAACUUGAUUGUCCUCAAAGUCUGGAUAGAGAGCAAAGUGUUCCUUAUCCAACAGAUACUUCCCUGUGCCCAUCUUUGAGUUAAUCAACUCCUCAAUCUGUGGGGCAUAUCGACAACUCCUCUUUUGGUCUACUGCUGCCCUCUUGAUAGUUUCAACUAUGAGGCUCAUGACCUUGAAUUUUUGGGGUACAUCAAAAAUGUGAAGCAAAUUAAUUGCAUGCCCUCUAAUCAUGUUGUGGUCACCUGAUUUGGGCAAAAGAGUGUCCCUUAGGAUCCAGUUGAUCGUAGGCAGCCCUGACAGAAGAAAAUGAACUGAUCCAAAAUUGAAAGUCUCAAGUGCAUCAUCAGGGAUCUCCUUGUACAAUGUGACAUAGAAUUGUGAUCCAUCUUCUUAUUGGCAUAGAUAUCCAAGUCAUCUUCACUCUCCUUUGGGGCAUUGAUCAUACUUGCCCAUUCCUUAAUGGCUGAUUGGUAUCUUGUUCCUUCAGACAUCCAAACUAUCCUCCCAUCUGGAUAGAAGUGUGCUGUGGAGUAGAAUUGCAUAAUGAGAUCAUCAUUCCAGUUGGUGAGCUUCUGCCCAACAAAAUCUGCAACUAUACAUGUAAUGAAACUGUCUCGCACUCCAGGAUAGUGUUCCUCAUUCUCUUUCAUGUAGGUCCAGUCGACCCACCUCAUAUUACACACUAUGGGCUUCUUGUCCAACAAGAUUGUCUCAUAGAAGUCCUGCUGCUCCUUGGUGUGGAACCUGUAAUCAACAACAGUCCUUCUCCUGGUGGCAUAUGGAUCUGUCAUUCUCCAUAGCCUCAACCCUGAGUCUCUCCUGAUCUUCAUGUUCUCAGCCACAUGAUGAGCAUCAUUGUGGUCUGGAAUCUUGGGUUUGAGCUUCCUUAAGAUCUGCCCUUCUUCAUCUUCAUCAGCAGCAACAUCAGGCAUUGGGGCCUUGUUCUUCUCAGCUGCUGGUAUACUCCUGGUAUUCCUCUUUGGUGCACUCUUGGGCUUGGGGGUAGCUUUGGGCUUUGAAGUUGCAGCCCCUGACUUUAUGGCAUCACCCAUCAGCUUUUGUGCCUUGGGUGCUGGUUCAGCAACCUCUUCUUCUUCCUAUUCCUCCAUCACGGAAGGUUGACCAACAACUCUGGCCAUGGUCUUUUUGACCAUUUCCUUCCUUUUCUUUCCUUCUGCAGUUGGCUCUUUGGGAUCAGGCUUUUCAGGUACUUGUGUUGAUCCUAUGACCUUCAGCAUAGGUGUCCUCUUGGCAGGAACCUUCCUAUUCAGUCCAGGCUUUGUGGUCUUUGCUGAGCCAUACUCCUUUUUGAGCACUACUUUCUUGGAAGUGGCCUCAUCUUCAGCUUCCACAUAGUCCUCAUCCUCUGAGUCUGAGGUUCUCUUCCUUCUUGCUCUUGUGGCUGCUUUGGGCAAAUUUCUUGGAGUACUUCUGCUGCCUUCAUCUGAGGAACUGGAGGGACUAGUGCCCUCACUCAUGUGAAUCUGCUCUUCUGACUUGUUCUGGCUGUCACUUUGGUCUGACAUGCUGCACACACUGACUGCUGACCCUGUGAAUAGUUAUAGAUGAGGUAGAGUGGAUGAGCAUCACAAAAUGCGGAGAUUUUUGGCAAAAGAAUGAUUCAAAAAACUUAGUUUUAGUUUUCCACAGAAAGCAUUUCGGAUCUACUGAUUUUCAAACUCGGUGAUACCGAAGCAGCUUUGGAACCUAAACUAGUGAACUCGGUCAGACCGAGUCACAGUUCGGUGGCACCGAGACUGCUAGGGUUUCACAAAGUUCUAAAAUCGGUCACACUGAUUUGUAAUUCUCGGUCAGACCGAGACUUACUAGUGCAAUGGCGUUAGCCAAAUCGGUGGGACCGAGUUUUUCAACUCGGUGGGUCCGAGAUGGUUUCGGCGGAAACCUAACCCUAAAUUUUCGAAUCACAUCUAUUCUAAGGAUUGUAUUGACUGGAUAGGAGUGUUUCAAUCGUGGCAAAAAUCAUAAUGAACACAAUGUGCUGAGAAUCAGACGAGGAUAUCACUGUGUUCGAGUUCAUACCCUAGUUCGACGGUGAACUUGCUACGGCGGCAACGAUGGAGAAGAAUUCCAUUGACGGCGGCGGAGACCAGCGACAGGAGGCGGCUGGCAACGAGGUCGAUGAUCCGUAGACCUAGUAGGCAGAGCGAGCUAUGCGCGGGUGAGGAGUUUCGGAGAAAGUUUUCCAAAAUUUGCCCGUGUGAAUAUAUAGCCCGACACUGUCGGUGUGACCGAGUGGAACAACUCGGUGGCACCGAGAUGCAUAACUGUUAACAGUUACAGCAACUCGGUGUGACCAAAAAGUUCAAAUCGGUUGCACCGAGAUUGAAAACCUAGAUCGACUUAGUGAUCUCGGUAUGACCGAAAUGGAGGAAUCGGUCAGACAGAAAAUCACAAAGAAGUUUUGGAAGUUUAAGUCUAUGACGAAUUGGGGACUUCGAGUGCUCCUCACACAGAGUGGUUCGAAUCUGACUUGAUCAAAUUUUGUGAUGUAGCAUGAAUAGAGUUUGAGACGAGAAAAUCAUAGAUAGCUAGAGAAGGUUCUUAGGCAUUCUUGUCCAUCCACUUGGCCAAAGAAAAGAAGCCAAUCAAUCAAAACAACAAGUGGAUGUCCUCGAAUGAGUAAAAUAUGCAACCAACAUGCUCACACAAUAGAAUGACAAAUGAAAUAUGUGACAAAGCAUGCACAACCAAUUCUAGCAUCUAUCAAACAAUUGGCGAUGACUAGGUCAUCUAUAUAUGAGUAUAUUGACUUAGGAGUCAAAUGAGAACAUUUGAUCAUAGGUCAUACUCAUCGUUUAAGCUCAAGUGGGGUUACCACUUUUACAUAAAGCAUUUAUGUGUUCACAUCAUUAGAGUUGCUUUGACUCAAUUCUUAGAGUUAAGCUCCCCUAGAUGUGAGAUCACCCCUUAGAGGGAUAAGCUAACCUUGGGUUUUGUCGAUGAUGACUUCAUGUAGGUGUUCAAGAUGUGGAUGCUCAAUGUUAAUGUAGAUCUUUUGGAGCAAUCCUUUGGAGUGAGUUGCACUUUCAAUACGUACACGGGUUAGUCCCACAAGGAACAAACAAGAAUAUCCACAAACAUAGAGUGAUGCACACACAAAAUGCUGUCCAUGAAAACAUUAGGUUACCUUGUCCCUUGCCUUACCAACAUGAGGGUUUGUGACUCCUUGAACUAGUGCAAGAUAUGGAAGGUGGUUGCAUUUGUCCUUGCCAUAAUGAUAUGAGUAAAAAAUGUUGGCGGAGUCACCCUCAAGAACUCUCUAGUUCUUCUUCUUCGGGAUCCACAUCAUCUUGAUGGGAAUCCUUGGUGUAGUAGUUGUGCUUGAUGAAGUAGAACUUGACGUAGUCUUGGGAACCCACUUGACCAAGGCCUUAGGUGCUUCUUCAAAUGCAUCAAUCUCCUCUUGAAGCUUGUCCUUUCCUUUGUUCUUGUGGUCUUGUGGUGGAAGAUCAUCUUGUGCUUGUGUUCCCUUGAAGGAAGUAGGAUCAUACUUCUCUUGUUGAGGAACAAACUUCGUCUUGGGGUAUUGAUCUUCUUCCCACUCAACUCCAUUGGCAUUGAACUUUCGUUCAAAACCAGCACCUUGAUUCUUCCGGUGCCUUCCUUGCUUGCGUACAAUUUCCUCAAAUUGCUUACUCCCGGCAAGGCUCUUGUAUACACCCUUCUCUAUAAUUCCCUUCAAUAAGUUGUUUUCUUGCUCAAGUGUAACUUGGCUAAGAGAAUCAUUAGUGGAAUCAAGAGAACUACUAGAAGCAACAAUAUUGGAUUUAGCAUUGUUAUUGUUACUACUAGAGGAAGAAUCUUUCUUGUUCUUGUUACUAGACUUGACUUGAGGCAUGUAAGUAGAUAAGAGUAAACGCUUGGCAAUAUAAGAAGAACUUUUCUUACGGAGAUCAUCAUUGAUUGCUUUUAGGAACUCAUGCUCUUGCUCAAGAUUGAGCUUUUCAAAGCAUAACUUCUCAUGAGCCCUUAAAAGUUCUCGAUGAUUUUCGAAGAUAGUUUCAUGAGCUAACUUAAGAGUGUUUAGUUCUUUAGUUAGACGCUCAAUCUUCUCCUUAUCAUCGUCAUUCGUUUCAUCUUGAUUAUCAUGAUUAAUUGAUGUUUCAUCAUAGUCUUCAUCACUAGAGUUGUCAAUAAGUAAAUCAUCAUCACCUAACAAGUCAUCUUCAUCACUAUUAAAAUCAACAUACUCGGGAUGAGUUACCUUAGGGCCUUUAGCCAUGAAGCAUCUUCCAAUUCCUUCAUUUGGUGAGUCAAAUAUGUCAUAGGAGUUGGUCGACACAAGUGCUAGACCAGCAACACCUUCAUCUUGAGUAUGUUCGGAGUCGGAGUGAUAGCUUCUCUCGGAGUGAUGUUCAGAGUCGGAACCGGAUACCCAUUCACCAACAUGAGCUUGAUGUCUUCGUUUUGUGUAGCUCUUUGAUGACUUGUCCUUCCUUUCUGAAUCCUUGCUUCUCCGUGAGGGUCUUCGUUCAUAACGAUCAUCUCUACUCCUUCUCUCUCUUGGUGGUGAUUCUUCUCUUCUACUUCUUCUCUUGGAGAAUCUUCUCUUCUUUUGUAGGGUGCCGUACACUCAUUGAAAUAGUGUCCAGGUCUCCCACAAUUGUAGCAAUUGCGCUCUCGACUGGAAGAUCUUUUGUCAUUGUAGGACCUUGACUUAGAGCUUCUUUCUUUGCUUCUACUUUUGUAGAAUUUGCUGAAAUUCUUCACCAUUAAGCUCAAUUCUUCAUUGAAGGUUUGUUUAUCACUUGAUUAUGUAGGAGCUUCACAUGAGGCUUUUUAAGCACCACUUGACUUGUUGUGAAGUUCCACCUUAUCCUUGAGUGACAUCUCAUGAGCAACGAUUCUACCAAUGACUUCCGUUGGCUUGAGAUUCUUGUAAUUGGGCAUCAUUUGAAUCAAUGUGCACACGGUAUCAUACUUUCCAUCCAAUGCUCUUAGGAUUUUCUUGAUGAUGAAUCUGUCGGUCAUCUCUUCACUUCCUAAGCCGGCAAUCUCAUUUGUGAUAAGAGCAAGGCUAGAGUACAUUUCAGCGACACCUUCACCAUCCUUCAUUUUGAAGUUGUCAAGCUGACUUUGGAGCAUAUUCAACUUGGAUUCCUUGACGGAGUCGGUACCUUCAUGCAUAUCAAUCAAAGGGUCCCAAAUUUCCUUUGCAUUCUCAAGACGGCUGAUUUUGUUGAAUUCUUCAGGGCAUAAAUCGUUGAAGAGGAUAUCACAAGCUUGAGCGUUGUAUUGCAGCAUCUUCAAUUCAUCCGCAUUAGCUUCACGGUUCGGCUCUCUCCCAUCAAAGAAUUCACCUUGUAAGCCAAUACAAACAAUAGCCCAAACGGUGGGGUUAUGUCCGAGAAUAUGCAUUUUCAUCUUAUGCUUCCAACUAGCAAAAUUAGUGCCAUCAAAGUAAGGACCUCUACGGUGAUAAUUUCCCUCGCUAGAUGCCAUACUCUCCUAGGUUGUGAAACCGAGGCUAUGACCACCAAAAGCUAUGGAAAUCAAAGCAAAUGGACACCAAAGCUCUAAUACCACUUGUAGGACCUUGAAGUAUGUCUAGAGGGGGGGUGAUUAGACUACUUGACCGAUUAAAAACUUAACCUUUUCCCAAUUUUAGAGUUUGGCAGAUUUUAGCAAUCUAUGGACAAGUCAAGCAAUCAUUACGCAAUUCAAGCAAGCAUGCAAAGAGUAUAUAGGCAGCACAAAAUAAAGCAUGCAACUUGCAAGAAUGUAAAGGGAAGGGUUUGGAGGAUUCAAAUGCAAUUGGAGACACGGAUGUUUUUGUUGUGCUUCCGAUAGGUGGUGCUAUCGUACAUCCACAUUGAUGGAGACUUCAACCCACAAAGAGUAACGGUUGCACGAUUCCACGAAGGGCUCCACCCACGGAGGGUCCAUGAAUAAGCAACCUUGUCUAUCCCACCAUGGCCGUCGCCCACGAAGGACUUGCAUCACUAGCGGUAGAUCUUCACGAAGUAGGCGAUCUCCUUGCCCUUACAAACUCCUUGGUUCAACUCCACAAUCUUGUCGGAGGCUCCCAAGUGACACCUAGCCAAUCUAGGAGACACCACUCUCCAAGAAGUAACAAAUGGUGCGUUGAUGAUGAACUCCUUGCUCUUGUGCUUCAAAUGAUAGUCUCCCCAACACUCAACUCUCUCUCAUAGGAUUUGGAUCUGGUGGAAAGAAGAUUUGAGUGGAAAGUAACUUGGGGAAGGCUAGAGAUCAAGAUUCAUAUGGUAGGAAUGGAAUAUCUUGGCCUCAACACAUGAGUAGGUGGUUCUCUCUCAGAACUGGUAAGUUGGAAGUGUAGGUUUGUUCUGAUGGCUCUCUCCAUGAAUGAAGAGGAGGUGGAGGGGUAUAUAUAGCCUCCACACAAAAUCUAACCGUUACACACAAUUUACCAAACUCGGUGGGACCGAAUCAUCAAACUCGGUCGGACCGAUUUAGUAAACCUAGUGACCGUUAGGGUUUUCGGUGGGACUGACAUGCAACUCGGUAGGACCGAUAUGAUUAGAGUUAGGGCAUAACGUAAUCUUGGUGAGACCGAUUACACAAACUCGGUGAGACCGAAUUUGGUAAUUACCUAACCAGAGAGUUGGUCAGGUAAACUCAGUGGGACCGAUUCUCUCUUUCGGUGAGACCGAAAAGUUACGAAAGGGAAACAUAGAGUUUAUAUUGCAAUCUCGGUGGGACUGAUCGCUCACUUCGGUUAGACCAAAACAUUACGAAGGGAAAUAGAGAGAUUACAAUCCCAUCUCGGUGAGACCGAGAUCCCUAUCGGUGAGACCGAUUUGCCUAGGGUUUGUGGCAGUGGCUAUGACAUUUGAACUCGGUGGCGCCGGAUAGAAAGAAUCGGUAGGGCCGAGUUUGACUUUAGGUUUAGGUCAUAUGUGGAUGUGAGAAAGUAGUGGAGGGUUUUGGAGCAUAUUACUAAGCACAUGAAGCAAGAGGCUCAUUAAGCAACACCUCAUCCCUCCUUGAUAGCAUUGGCUUUUCCUAUAGACUCAAUGUGAUCUUGGAUCACUAAAAUGUAAAAUGUAGAGUCUUGAGCUUUUGAGCUUGAGCCAAUCCUUUGUCCUUGAUAUUUUGAGGGAUCCACUUUCAUCAUCCAUGCCAUGCCAUUCAUUGAGCUUUCCUGAAAUAUUUGUCUUGGAAUAGCAUUAGCUCAAUGAGCUAUAUGUUGUUAUGAAUUACCAAAACCACCUAGGGAUAGUUGCACUUUCACCAUCGCAUGCCCAUGAAGAGUAUCUCCCCGAGCCCCUCACUUCACUUCAGAGGGAAGAACUUCGCCGCUGGAACAUGGAUGCGCUGCACACUCCUAUCGUUGGAGAAACCCCCGAGGCUCGUGCCUUAGAGGACGCACGCUUGGCCAACUUGGCUGAGCGCACUCGACUGGAGAACCUUCAGCGAGCACUCGAUGAGCGUGCGCGGCAACGGGUUCCGGAAUCCAGUCGACGUCAACUCUUUCCACCACCGACUCAGGUAUAUCGAACUCCGAUUCAAAAUUUAGCAGCUGCAGCCCGUAUAGCAGAGUUAAUUCAGCCUUCCCAGUCAGAGGCUGGCAGAGGCUUGUUGCAGAUCAGAGAUUUACUCUGGGCAGCAGGAGAUCAAAAUUCAGCUGUAUCGCAGUCGUGGAAUAGGAUUCACAGCAGAUCCGUAGCUGCAAAUACUGUCCAGUCGGCUCAUAGCCCCAGAUCGCCCCCGAGGCGUGAGGGGCGUGGAGACCGGCAUGAUCAGUACAAGAACCGUGAGCAGUAUGAUCACUGAAUCGAUCGUGAUGAUCGACGUCAAGUGCCCACCCCUCCCCCAAGGGGUGGAUCGUACGCACCUCGACAACAGGAUGAUAGACGCCAUCACAGUGUUGGGCGAAGGAUUCCAGUCGACCCCAGGGAACCAGGAUUUGAUGCGAGAUCCAUUAUUGUUCAAGGUUUGGUCGACAGGAACAGAGCUCACCGAGAAGGUCACGACAGAGACGUACCCACUAGCAGCAGAGUACACGUCUCAGGACCAGAUUGUUUCAGCAGAGUCAUCAGGGCCGCGGUGAUUCCUCCCAUCUUCAGGUUGGCGAUUGGAGUCAAUAAGUUCACUGGUGAGUCCAAGCCUGAUACUUGGCUUGAAGACUACCGAGUGGCUGUUCAGAUUGGCGGCGGCAAUGAUGAGGUGGCCAUGAAACACCUGCCUCUUAUGUUGGAGGGAUCGUCCAGAGCGUGGUUGAAUCAGUUAGCACCCAACAACAUUUACACUUGGGAAGAUCUUGCCCGAGUUUUUGUCAGAAUGUUUGAAGGAACUUGCAAGCGACCAACAGGAGUGACAGAGCUGCAAUCUUGUGUGCAGAAGUCGAAUGAAACUUUGAGAGAUUACAUCCAGAGAUGGAUCACAUUGCAUCACACGGUAGAGAAUGUGUCUGAUCACCAGGUAGUCUGUGCCUUCAAGUAAGGCGUUAAGUACAGAGAGCUAAACCUAAAAUUCGGUCGAACCAGAGACAUGUCUCUGAGUCGAAUGAUGGACAUAGCCACCAAGUAUGCCAAUGGUGAAGAAGAGGAUCGGCUCCAGAGUGGCAAGCACAAGUCAGUCGCCCACAAAACCGGAGGAGGGAACUCCAGUCGGAAGCAGAAGCGGAAAGCCGAGCUAGCUGCUCCUGGAGAAGCCUUGGCCGUGACUCAAGGAAAGUUUAAAGGGAAGCCCAAAGGGUCUUGGAACCCUAAGAAGGUGAAAGACAAGGAAGGAAAUGACGUGAUGGAUUUGCCAUGCCACAUCCACACGAAAAAAGAUGAGGAGGGUAAAUUCAUUUGCCGGAAACAUACCACUCGACAGUGUCGACUCUUGAUCCAACAAUUCCAGGGGAAACAGCCCAAAGAUAAGGAAAAGGAGUCGGACAAAGUUGCAGACAAAGAGGAUAGUGAUGAUGGAUAUCCCCAGGUCAAUUCCACCCUGAUGAUUUUUGCUGAUGUUGAAAGCAAAAGUCGAUUGAAAUUUAUCAACCGAGAAGUGAAUAUGGUUGCUCCGGCGACACCCAGUUAUCUGAAAUGGUCUCGGACUGCCAUCACAUUCGACUGGUCUGAUCACCCGACACACAUAGCCACCCCUGGGAGGCAAGCUCUGGUGGUCGACCCUGUCGUCGAAGGCACUCGUUUGACUAAAGUUUUGAUGGAUGGUGGCAGUAGCCUGAACAUACUAUACGCAGAGACGUUGAAAGGGAUGGGCAUUCCGAUGUCCAGACUCAGUACCAGCAACAUGAGUUUCUAUGGAGUCAUUCCUGGAAACAAGGCUGCGUCACUUAGUCAGAUUGCGCUUGAUGUGGUUUUCGGUGAUUCCAAAGAUUACCACAAAGAAAAGUUGACAUUUGAAGUUGUGGAUUUCCAGAGUGCCUAUCACGCUAUUUUGGGCAGGCCAGCUUAUGCACGUUUCAUGGCUCGACCAUGUUACAUGUACCACAAAUUGAAGAUGCCUGGACCCAAAGGUGUGAUCACUAUUACUGGCAAUCGGAAGAAGGCGAAAGAGUGCUUUCAGAAAGGCUCAAAGAUCGCCGAUGCUCAGAUGGCAGCGGAAGAGUGGCAGGAAUACCAGAAAACUGCAGACCCGAGUGAUUUGUUGCGAGCCAAGAAGCCCGCCACGGAAUUAGUGUUUCAGUCGUCUGGUGAGACAAAACCAAUUCACAUUCACUCGACCGACCCCAGUGCUGCUCCGACUCAUAUCUCUACAACGCUCGACUCCAAAUAGGAAGAAGCGCUCAUCCAGUUCCUCCGUGAGAACUGGGACAUCUUCGCAUGGAAACCUUCUGACAUGCCGGGUGUUCCCAGGGGGCUGGCUGAGCACCGUCUACGAGUCAACUCAAAAGUGAAACCUGUCAAAGAACAUCUUCGACGGUCCGCCAUCCAGAAAAGAAAGGCCAUUAGCGAGGAGGUGGCUUGGCUCUUAACAGCAGAGUUUAUCCGAGAAAUUUAUCACUCUGAGUGGCUCGCCAAUGUUGUCAUGGUCCCCAAGAAGGACAAGUCACUUCGCAUGUGCAUUGACUUCAAAAAUAUCAAUCGGGCCUGCCCGAAAGAUCAUUUUCCUCUCCCCCACAAUGACCAAAUAGUCGACUCAACUGCGGGAUGUGAGCGCCUGUCUUUUUUAGACGCCUAUUCCGGUUACCAUCAGAUCCGUCUGUAUGGACCCGAUGAGAUCAAAACAGCUUUCAUCACCCCAUUCGGGUACUUCUGUUAUGUCACCAUGCCAUUUGGCCUCAAGAAUGCCGGAGCCACAUUCAUGAGGAUGAUUCAGAAGUGUUUGCUCACUCAAAUUAGUCGGAAUGUGGAAGCGUACAUGGAUGAUAUUGUGGUCAAGUCACGGAAAGGUUCUAACCUGCUGACUGACCUUGCUGAGACAUUUGCCAACCUCAGGAGGUAUGAUAUCAAGCUUAAUCCAUGAAAGUGCACAUUCAGAGUUCCUGGCGGAAAGUUACUAGAUUUUCUCCUUUCCGAACGAGGAAUUGACGCCAAUCCAGAAAAAGUUGGUACUAUACUCCGAAUGAAACGACCUGUGCAUGUGCAUGAUGUUCAGAAGCUUACUGGUUGCUUGGCCGCUUUAAGUCGAUUCAUAUCUCGUCUCGGUGAAAAGGCAUUGCCUCUUUACCGAUUGGUGAAGAAGUCAGACAAGUUCGAGUGGACUCCUGAAGCUGAUGCAGCGUUUGCAGAGCUAAAAGCCCUGCUUUCCACCCAGCCGGUGCUUGCUGCCCCGAUCAGCAAAGAGCCUUUACUGCUUUACAUUGCAGCCACAGGACAAGUCGUCAGUACACUACUUACGGUCGAGCGGGAAGAAGAAGGAAAAGCCUUUAAAGUUCAGCGCCUAGUAUAUUAUAUUUCUGAAGUUUUGACCCCAUCAAAGCAAAGAUACCCUCAUUAUCAGAAGCUUGUAUAUGGGAUUUAUAUGACCACGAAGAAGGUUGCUCAUUACUUCUCUAACCAUUCCAUUACAGUCGUCAGCGACGCUCCAUUGUCAGAGAUUCUGCACAAUAGAGAUGCAACUAGUCGAGUGGCAAAAUGGGCGAUUGAACUCCUUCCCCUAGAUAUCAGAUUUGAGGCAAAGAAAGCCAUCAAGUCCCAAGCAAUAGCAGAUUUCAUCACCGAGUGGACUGAACAGCAACUGCCGAGUCAAGUUCACUCGGAGCACUGGACCAUGUUCUUUGAUGGUUCUAAGAUGCUGAAUGGUUCCAGUGCUGGGGUAGUGUUGGUUUCCCCCUGAGGAGAUAAGCUCAGAUAUGUGCUCCAGAUUCACUUUGAUUCCUCCAAUAACGAAGCAGAAUACGAAGAACUUUUGUAUGGGUUGCGUAUGGCCAUUUCACUCGGCGUCCGUCGCCUCAUGGUCUAUGGUGACUCUGAUUUGGUGGUUAAACAAGUGAUGAAGGAGUGGGACGUCAGAAGCCCAGCCAUGACUGGUUACUGCAAUGCAGUGAGAAAGCUAGAGAAGAAAUUCGAGGGGUUAGAGCUUCAUCAUAUACCCCGACUGAAAAAUCAAGCAGCUGAUGAUUUAGAAAAAAUAGGUUCCAAGAGAGAAGCCAUUCCCAGUAAUGUGUUUUUGGAACACAUCCACACACCAUCAGUUCAAGAGGAUCCUUUCACUGAAGAAGCCCCGCAGCUAAAAAGUUCCACGGAUCCGACUGAAGUUGAGGUCCCAGCCGUGGUCGACCUGAUCAUGAAAGUUUUGGUCAUCACUUCCGACUGGACAGUGCCGUACAUCGCGUAUAUCCUAAGGAAAGAGCUCCCAGAGAAUGAAGAAGAGGCUCGACAGAUCGUCCAUCGAUCCAAGGCCUUCACUAUGAUAAAGGGACAGUUAUACAGGGAAAGCGCGACUGGAGCCAGUCAGAAAUGUAUAAUGCCAGAAGAAGGUCGGAUAAUUCUUGACGAUAUCCACUCGGGGACCUGUGGCCAUCAUGCGUCCUCUUGGACUAUUGUGGCUAAAGCAUACCGAGCGGGGUUUUACUGGCCCAGAGCAAAUGAAAUGGCGAAAGAGAUAGUCGACAAAUGUGAAGGAUGUCAGUUCUAUUCCAAUAUGUCACACAAGCCCGCCUCAGCCUUGAAGACCAUUCCACUCGUCUGGCCCUUCGCUGUUUGGGGAUUAGAUAUGGUUGGACCACUGAGAACUGGCAGGAGCGGCUUCACCCAUGUACUGGUGGCAGUCGACAAGUUCACUAAGUGGAUCGAAGCCAAGCCUAUCAAGAAUCUUGAUGCCGGCACUGCUAUCAGCUUCAUCAGAGAGUUGAUAUUCAGAUAUGGAGUUCCGCAUAGCAUCAUCAUUGAUAAUGGGUCAAACUUCGAUUUCGACCAAUUCAAAGCCUUUUGCGCUUCUCAAGGCACACGAGUCGACUACGCUUUCAUUGCUCACCCCCAGUCGAAUGGACAAGCAGAAAGAGCAAACGGCCUAAUUCUCAAAGGACUGAAACCCUGGUUGAUGCGUGAUCUCAAACACACAGCGAGCGCGUGGGUCGACGAACUUCCAUCAGUUCUUUGGGGAUUGAGGACUACUCCUAAUCGGUCGACUGGCCGAACUCCAUUCUUUCUGGUCUAUGGAGUUGAAGUAGUACUGCCGAGUGACCUGCUUCACAAUGCACCCUGAGUCGAGCUCUACUCUGAAGAUGAAGCAGAACAAGCCCGGCAGGACGCAGUCGACCUUCUAGAAGAAGAAAGAGAGAUGGCCAUGAUCCGAUCGACCAUCUAUCAGCAGGACUUGCGUCGAUUCCAUGCCAGAAACGUGAAGAGUCGAGCCUUCCAAGAAGGAGACUUGGUCCUCCGAGUGGAUCAACAGAAGCCACGCAAACUCGCCCCUACUUGGGAAGGCCCCUUCAUCGUCACCAAAGUUCUCCACAAUGGAGCAUACCAUCUUUACAAUGUCGGUCGCCAGAUUGAUGAGCCACUAGCUUGGAAUGCGGAGCUGCUCUGCCCUUUUACACUUAAGUACUCACUCGGAUGAGAUGUAAUAAAAAGUAUUCCUGUAGUUUGUUUAUCAAAGACAAUAGCGUUAUAGUUUUCCCAUUGAUUGUUAUUGCUUUUGUUUAUGUGAGAAAUCCCCCAGUGGGUGGCUUAGCUGCGAAUCUCUUUCGCCUAAGUUUGUAAAAAAACUCCUACUGAGUGACGAGCAAGCCUCUCACUCGGGGGCUUGGCUGCGAAUCUGUUUCGCCUAAGUAUUUGAAAAUCCUACCGAGUGACGAGCAAGCCUCUCAUUCGGGGGCUUGGCUGCGAAUUCAUUUCGCCUAAGUAUUUGAAAAUCCUACCGAGUGACGAGCAAGCCUCUCACCCGGGGGCUUGGCUGCGAAUUCGUUUCACCUAAGUAUUUGAAAAUCCUACCGAGUGGAGAGCAAACCUCCCACUCGGGGGCUUAGCUGCAGUCCAGUACUCACCUAAGUAUUUNNNNNNNNNNNNNNNNNNNNNNNNNNNNNNNNNNNNNNNNNNNNNNNNNNNNNNNNNNNNNNNNNNNNNNNNNNNNNNNNNNNNNNNNNNNNNNNNNNNNNNNNNNNNNNNNNNNNNNNNNNNNNNNNNNNNNNNNNNNNNNNNNNNNNNNNNNNNNNNNNNNNNNNNNNNNNNNNNNNNNNNNNNNNNNNNNNNNNNNNNNNNNNNNNNNNNNNNNNNNNNNNNNNNNNNNNNNNNNNNNNNNNNNNNNNNNNNNNNNNNNNNNNNNNNNNNNNNNNNNNNNNNNNNNNNNNNNNNNNNNNNNNNNNNNNNNNNNNNNNNNNNNNNNNNNNNNNNNNNNNNNNNNNNNNNNNNNNNNNNNNNNNNNNNNNNNNNNNNNNNNNNNNNNNNNNNNNNNNNNNNNNNNNNNNNNNNNNNNNNNNNNNNNNNNNNNNNNNNNNNNNNNNNNNNNNNNNNNNNNNNNNNNNNNNNNNNNNNNNNNNNNNNNNNNNNNNNNNNNNNNNNNNNNNNNNNNNNNNNNNNNNNNNNNNNNNNNNNNNNNNNNNNNNNNNNNNNNNNNNNNNNNNNNNNNNNNNNNNNNNNNNNNNNNNNNNNNNNNNNNNNNNNNNNNNNNNNNNNNNNNNNNNNNNNNNNNNNNNNNNNNNNNNNNNNNNNNNNNNNNNNNNNNNNNNACGAGCAAGCCUCUCACUCGGGGGCUUGGCUGCGAAUCCGUUUUGCCUAAUUAUUUGAAAAUCGUACCGAGUGAAGAGCAAGCCUCUCACUCGGGGGCUUGGCUGCGAAUCCGUUUCGCCUAAGUAUGUGAAAAUCCUACCGAGUGGGGAGCAAACCUCCCACUCGUGGGCUUAGCUGCAGUCCAGUACUCGCCUAAGUAUUUGAAAAUCCUACUAAGUGGGGAGCAAACCUCCCACUCGGGGGCUUAGCUGCAGUCCAGUACUCGCCUAAGUAUUUGAAAUCCUACCGAGUGGAGAGCAAACCUCCCACUCGGAGGCUUAGCUGCAGUCCAGUACUCGCCUAAGUAUUUGAAAACCCUACCAAGUGGAGAGCAAACCUCCCACUCGGAGGUUUAGCUGCAGUCCAGUACUCGCCUAAGUAUUUGAAAAUCCUACCGAGUGGAGAGCAAACCUCCCACUCGAAGGCUUAGCUGCAGUCCAAAGUGCUCGCCUAAGUAUGAAAUCCAACGUGCGCUCUGCAAGGACGACGAGGUGCGGGUCGACUGCUACUUUCUCCUUCGGAGCCACACCACAAAUACAAUGUGCGCUCUGCAAGGACGACGAGGUGCAGGUCGACUGCUACCUUCUCCUUCGGAGCUACGCCACAAAUACAAUGUGCGCUCUGCAAGGACGACGAGGUGCAGGUCAACUGCUACCUUCUCCUUCGGAGCUACGCCACAAAUACAAUGUGCACUCGGCAAGGACGACGAGGUGCAGGUCGACUGCUACCUUCUCCUCCGGAGCUACGCCACAAAUACAAUGUGUGCUCUGCAAGGACGACGAGGUGCAGGUCGACUGCUACCUUCUCCUUCGGAGCUACACCACAAAUACAACAUGCGCUCUACAAAGACGUAGGUCGACUGCAAUCUGUGCUCCAUCCUUACCUGCAAGAGCGAUGAGGUGCAGGUCGACUGGAUCCUCUACCUUGGAACUGCGUCACAAGCACCAAAGUAUAUUCCGAGUGAAGAACAAAGUUCGCUCGAAGGAAAAUGCAAGCAUAUUAAACGAUAAGCCAAGUUCAGAUAACAUCCUACGGAUUCAGAAGUGCUCAGGCAUCAAGCCUGUAAAAGUUUAUCGGUUAUAAAACCACUCGGCAUUCCGAGGCAAAUUUAAGGCGAAGCAUAGAAGUUUUUCUUACUCCUCGGGUGGAGGACUGGAAGGCGCGACAAACUGGUCCAGGUCGAUUCCAUCAGCAAUCCGAGUGGCAGCAGCAAUGAAGGUCUCCAUGAAAGAUUGGAAGUCAUGCUUCUUGGUAUUGGCCACUUUGAGAGACGCCAGCUUGUCCUCUCGCGCAUCCUUGCAGUGAACACGGACCAGGGACAGAGCAACAUCAGCACCACACCUGGCAGAAGACUUCUUCCAUUCUUGCACUUGACCUGGAACUUCAUUCAGUCGUCAUUAGAGACUCGAGGUCAUUUUGGAGCGUCACUCCCGGCCAGAGUGUCAUGUCGAUUCACGACGCCGCAGCUUUCAGUCGAGCAAGGUAGUCAACCACUCCAGCAACACGAGACUCCAGUCGGAGCAUGUUCAUAGCAGCUUCGUCCUUCACAAGAGAGUUAACGGGGUCCAAGCCUAUCUCCACUCGACUGGUCUCCUCCUCGAAGUUUUGGCAGAAUUCUAUAAACACAACUCAAAUAUAAAUCAGUAGUUCUAUGAUAAGUCGGUGAUUACAAGUCAAUCGAGUAGGAGAUAUUACCCUCAAGCAUGAUGAGUAACUUCUUGGCGAGCCCUCCUAGAUAAGCCUCCAGAUCGUUCUUCUUCCCCACCAGUUCACUAGCCUUGUCACUCAAAGCUAUCUUGUCAUUCUUCGGAUGGCUGACUUCCUUGUUGGCCGCGUCAAGAGCAGCUUUCAGAUUGGCGUUCUCCUCUUCUAGUUUACCGACUGAAGCCAAUUUAUCUUCCGCAAGCUUCGUUUUGUCCAAAGUCGCCUUCUGCGCCUCGGCAAGUUCAUGGUCCUUCUUCCUCAGAGCCUCCUUCAUUUUAUCUGCAAAAUGACAAUGAGAUCAGAAUCAAGAAUGGGCAGAAAGAUAAAGACAGUCGUCAAGUUCUCACCAAUCAUACCUUUUGCUUCUUCCUUCGCCUUCUAGAAGUUCUCCUGAACAAGCUUCAAGUCAAGUUCUCACCAACUCAGUAUAGCGAGCCACAAGCUCGCAAGAUUUCUGCAAAGAGUCAGUCGACAGACAUCAAAGAGAGGUCGCUUCCGAGUGACUAAGAGAAAAACCAUAACAUUUCUAAGACUACAGUCGAAUCAAAAUAUUCGACAGUAGUCUCGGGGACUACACCCAGUGGGUGCACUCAACGUGCCCCCACUAGUUCUAUCGACUUGGUCCGAUCAGUCGACCGAAAGGAACAAAGAGAUUAUGGUCCCAAAACCAUAGCUAACUGCCAGCAGUCAGCCAUGGUCUCAUCAUGAUCUAUCAAAAAAGGGGUUCUUCAGACUACAUUCGACUGCCAGCAGUCCACUAUAGUCUCGGGGACUACACCCAGUAUGUGCACUCAGCGUGCCCCCACCGGUUCCAAGAUUCCAUUCAACAUGGUUUGACCAGACCGAGUGAAGAAGUUAGAGUGAAGAAAUUUCAAAUACGAAGACUACAGUCGACUGCCAGCAGUCCACCAUAGUCUCGGGGACUACACCCAGUGGGUGCACUCAGCGUGCCCCCACCAAUCCAAAAAUUCAAUCGACACGCCCAGUGGGUGUACAGAUACAAAGAUCUUCGGAAAGAAGGUCUUCAGAUAGCAUAUACUAACAGAACAAGCGGUGACCAACUAACCUGGACGUUGCUUUGAAGGGCUGAGCUAGCAUCAUAGGCCGCUUGCCUGGCUUCCCGGAUCGCCUUCACCUGCUCCAUCAUGAUCCCGCCUGGCGUAUAGCCUCCUUAGCAGCACCUGCUUGGUCCUCUGGGACGUGGUGCAUGGCGAAAAGGGAGGGCGGGUCAGCAGUCGACGACGAAGGCCGGACACUCGUCAGCGGCACAACGAAGGACACGGAAUGUCGAGUGACAUCGCCACCCUCUUGAAUCGAUAUCUCAGGCACUGGUGCAAUCGGAGUGGUCUUGCCAGCCGGCGCCUUCUUAUUCCUCCUCGCCCUCAGUGGCACCUUGUCGUCAUCAUCAGGGAGAUCAAUGACAUGAGGGGGAGCUAUAGGAAAAAUCCAAAGUUACAAACGAAAUCCAAUCAACCAAAAGUGAAACUACUGAGAGCGUACCAAGGUUGGAGGUGGCAGCGUCAUCCAUUUCCUGGUCGCCGUCCUUGGCGGAGGUCUCGGAGGUAGCAGCACUGCGGAUUUCAGAAACCAGUCGAUUAAUCAAUGAGUUGACCAAGAGUUUGUCCGUGCUAAACGAGAAGACACAAGUUUUGCUGUUACCCAGAAAUGGUGGGAAUGUCCAUUCUCAUCUUGGGCAAGGCCUUCGGCGGCUUUAAUGGCGCCGCUCAUGGAUGCUUCGGCGCUUUUUCAGUCGGCGCCGGAGAAGCCGCCCGAGGGCACUUUGACGAUUGCACAUAGGGCGCAUCCGCUUUUCUGCGCUCGCUCGCGGGGUCGUGGGCGAGCUUGGAUCGCCUUUCCGUGCGAGGAGGAUCGACUUCCUCCUGCUCCUCUUCGCUGGAGCCGUUGUCAUCCUCUUCCCCCUCACCAUCAGAUUUCCAGUCCUCCUCACUUUCACCUCCGCUCGCCUCCCCCUCCUCGGCUUGUUCUUGCGCCCCGUUGGGCAUCGAGUACAUCGCAGUCGUGGCCUAGAAGACAGCAAACAAGACAAAAGUCAGUCGACUGAUUUUAAGCAAACCAAAUGAAGAAAGCAGGAUCACAGUCCGAGAUGCAGAACGGGACCAUGUCUACUUCGUAUGAUUGGUCGAGUGGAGGAAUCCUCCUGGCUCCUCGGGGGUUGUCUUUGUUCCCUGUGAUGCUCGCCAGCCACCUCUCCAGCGUGGCAUCGUCAAUCUCCUCUAGGUGGAUCCGAGUGGUGUCCUCAGUACCAGAAUACAACCACAUCGGAUGGUCUCGGGCUUGAAGCGGCUGAAUGCGUCGUCGGAGGAAGACCUCCAAGAGGUCCAUGCCGGUCACCCCAUCACGGAUAAGCUGGAUGACACGCUCGACCAACACCUUAACAUGCGCCUUCUCUUCCGGGAUCACCUUCAAAGAGGAAGGCUUCCUCACUCGUUCCAUGGAAAAAGGAGGGAGUACGGUCGACUGCCCUGGUGUCGGCUGGUCUUUGCAGUAGAACCAGGUCGACUGCCAUCCACGGACUGAAUCGGGAAGGAUCAUGGCCGGGAAAGAGGUUUUUCCUCUCAUUUGAACCCCAAGACCCCCACACAUCUGAAUCACUCAUGUUCUCUUGUCACUCGGAUUGGCCUUUUUCACCGUCUGGGAGCGACAGGUGAAGAUGUGCUUGAAAAGACCCCAAUGAGGCCGACAACCCAAGAAAUUCUCGCACAAAGACACGUAAGCAGCGAGGUACAUGAUGGUGUUGGGUGUGAAGUGGUGGAGUUGUGCCCCAAAGAAAUUCAGAAAUCACCGAAAGAAAGGGUGAGGCGGCAAAGAAUACCCACGGUCGACAUGGGUGGCCAAGAGAACACACUCACCCUCCUAAGGCUGCUAAUCGGACUCCUUCCCCGGGAGCCGCACCGAUCCAUGGGGGAUCAGUCCUCCAUCAGCCAGGUCGUCAAGAUCUGCUUGAUCAAUCGUCGAGCGGAUCCAGUCGCCCUGGAUCCAGCCCUGCGGCUGGCCGGCCCUCGAUGAAGAUCCGCCUCGACUGGUCGCCCUUCCCUUCGCCUUCGCCGUUGCUUUCUUCGCCCGCUCCAGGGCUUCCGUCUUCUCUUUCACCAUCGUCGCCAGCGAGACGCGCACGGGGCAGCGGCGCAGAGGCGGAAGCGAACGCGGUGGGUAAGUAAGGAGAAGAGAGGAGGAAAUGAGAAUGCACUGUUCAAAAAACCCCAUCCGGCGCCUUAUAUGAGGUUACUUUCGAGUGACUGACUUGUAGGCCCGGGCGAUCCUGUCAAAUCCCGCAACAGUUGCGCGCGUGAUACGUGGCGAAAAAGGUGGCGCAGAGAUUGAGGCAUCCUUGCCUUAUCCCAUCCGAUUACUGCGGCCUCCUCCGCCCCGCACGCUUCCCGAAAUUUGAAUCCCGCUAAAUCCGCGAGUUGCAGAACAACUCGUCAGCCGAAAGAUCUCCUAUGCUCUGUCGCUCGGAGCUCUUCUAGUAAAAACUUCACUCGACGGAUACAAAGAAUGGAUCAAGGCGACUGAAAAAGAAGUUGGUGCUGUCACCUAAAGUUCAUUGAUCCAGAAGAAGACAUACGCAUAACACGGAAAUGGGUUGGAAGAGUUCUCAACUCCUUCCCCACUCGAACCUCGAUCCAUUCGGGGGCUAAUGAUGAAGCUAUGUACCUAGGGUAGGAUCAUGGACCUGUCCAAACUACCCUACCCAAGGACAUCUCUAGAAAAAACCACCUGUCAAUCGACUUAGAAGUGUUCCACUCGACAGACUCGAAGACACUCGACCAUGAAGCCAACUACUCGACCAUGAAGCCCACCACUCGACAGUGAGGAGACCUAAAGUCACUAUGCACGCAAACGGUCGGUCAUUAAGUAGCUUUUAUGGUUAUCAUAGCACUUUAUUUGUAGUGUUACCAGUAACGCCCGAUCUUAAUGUAUCUUAAACCCUGCAUAACUGAGGGACGGAGGGAUCUAGUGAACUCUAUAUAAGCCACCCCCCUCCUCAGUGUAAAGGGUUCGCACCCCUGUAACUCAUACACACAUAAUCCAGUCGACCGCCUCCGGGCUCCGAGACGUAGGGCUGUUACUUCCUCCGAGAAGGGCCUGAACUCGUAAAUCCCUUGCGUAUACAACUACUCCAUAGCUAGGAUCUUCCCUCUCCAUACCUACCCCCCUAUAUUACUGUCAGACUUAGAACCACGACACCCGCCACCAGCCCAAGCCGCUACCCCACUGCCAAACCCUAGCGCUGCCGCCGCUUCUUGCCGCCGCCGCCGCCGUCCGCCGCUGCUCCGCCGGAGCCGCCGCCGCCGACCGCCACCUCCGUCGGAGUAGCCGCCACCGCCCCGAUCCCGCUGUCGCCGCCGCCGUCCUAGUUUUCCUGGAAAAACUGACGUUUUUUUUAACCCGAUCUAGUUUUUUUUUAGAUCGGUUCUGUUUCUUUUGGUUUAGUUAAAUAGCGGACGUUCGUCCGUACGUUUGUUUUAACGAACGUUGUUCGCCAGUCAGCCGCAGAUAGCGAACGUACGUUCGUUAGCCUGUUCGUCUUGUUUUUUUUCUCCAUGGUUUUUCCGCGAUUAUUUUCGAUCGUGAUUUCUGCCCUGAUCUUCGUUUUAGUUUAUCAUUUCGCUCGUUUAUCCGAAUCAGGUGAAACAAGCGCCUAGAUCUUCGUCUCGAAGCCCUACUUCUGUUUAAUCAACUUGAACAAGAUUUUGGUACUGUAAAAUUUGACUUUAGUCCAGAUUAGUAAACGAAUCUUGUUUCUUUCGUAGUUUGAGUUUCAUUGCUCCGUUUGAUUUGAUUCUUUUUCCAAACCGGAGUUCAUCAGUUGAACUUUCUGGUUAGAUCUUCUUAUUUGAGUUUUACUCGUGCUUCUAGUUGAGUGCUUAUGUAUGUUAUUAUUUGUUUGUGAUAGAAUUUCCGGAGUGCGAAGCGUGCUACUACGAGUCUCUAGGUUUUGCGGAUCAUCAGCAAGGCAAGUAACAUUUUGAUCAUACCUCUUUAUUACCCAGUUUUUAUGCAUUAGUCUCAACCCUCAAACAUUGCAUGGUUAGGCUUUGUUUUAAGAUAUGGUUUGGGACGUACAUGAUGAGGUAGAACCUAUUGCCCUUUUAUUUUCAAACCUUUGGGAGUUACUUCUACGUUAUGCUCAGGAUUGCUAUGCUACGCUCGUAGACGUGGAUUGGGUGAGUGUAUCCAUGAAAGAUAUGAGUAUUGUUAAUUAAUGGUUAACAUAAGGUGGCUACUUUAAUACACAUCUGGGUGGAUUGGUUGAGGCACCCUGGAGUACCUAGUGGUUGUCAGGGCACCUGGAGAAUCCAGUGUUGUCCUAGGAUAUCCCCGAGUACCCGUGUGAUUAUCCUACGGUUUGCCACCCAGGCUCAAAGGGAUCAUAAGAUUAUUCAUGCUAGAAACUUCCGUGUGCAGCCACAAGCCAACAUGGGCUCUGGCAUAGUUGAGUAUGUUGUGUGACCUCUUUUAGUGGUAGACUAGCAGAUGUAGGGGAUGUAGGUGGUACUGUCUACCUAGAGUAAAGAGUUAACGCUUCUGAAAGACUAUGUCUCGGUCAUCCGUUUCUCAAACAUCAUGUAGUGCAAGAAAUCUAACGGAGGAGAUCGAGUCUUGUGGGGAAAAGCACCCAAACCUCUGCAAAGUGUACAAACUAAUCAUGGUUAGUCGUGUCCCCGAUUAUGGACAUCUUGAGUAUCUGGUUCUUGGAUUAUCAUGUUGAUCUCAUCACUCUAAAUCAAUUUGAUUAGGUUAACUGAAGUUGCUCAGUUGGGAUUGAGUUGGAGGAACCUUCUCAAUGUUUAACAACCACCAUGAUAGUUAAAUAAAAUGUAUUCUUUUGUUGUAGGAAAAAAAUUGGCUUUAUGCAAAAAUGUAACAAUAGAGCUUUCCACCAGCCAUACAUGCAUGUAGUGAUAGCAUUUAUUCUGUUCAUUACUCUAUGUGUUACAUUGACAGCAUAUUCCAUGUGCUGACCCAUUUCGGGCUGCAACAUAUCAUGUUGCAGACUUUUCAGACGACGAGUAAGGUGCCAUAGGUCGUUGUCGUUCACUCAGCUACGCCAUUGGAGUUGAUGGACUCACUUUAUCUUCCAAGCCUUCCGCUAUUAUCUUUUAGAUGGCCUUAAGCCAUGUUAUCGUAAUAAGUUCUCUUUUGAGACAUUCGAUGUAAUAAGUGUGUGAUUGAAACUCUGUUAUAAAUCCUCAAGUACUGUGUGUGUCAGCAUUACCGAUCCAGGGAUGACACUGAUGCACAGAGACUAGACUGUUUGAGGUCUGGUCGCUACAAGAUGGUAUUAGAGCACACGUUGACUGUAGGACACGACCACUAAGCUAAAACCCUAGGGCACUCUUCUCUACUCAUUUCUAACUCCUCUCCUCUUUUCCACUCUAUAGGAUGGCGGACUCACAGAACAAAUUUACACAACCGGAUGAAGACACUCCUUUUGGACGACACUUGAAGGAAGUUACUAGAUACCUGAACAUUGGAAUACCAAGCUUCACGAGAACCUACAUCGCCACUUUACCAGAAGAGGAACACUAGAUGAUUCGAGUUCAAGUUCCUGGAAGGACGUUCAUGACAGUCACUGAGCCCAUAGAGUUUUCCUUUGAUGCACCAACCUGGAGUCUAGGAAAGAGCAUGGCAGCCCACAUCACCAUGGAACGCAUUGGAGAAGUCUACCACAAGGAUCUUAAGGAUACUAUCUACCAGAUAUGUGGGCGCCGAGAUGAGCAAUGGGAGAUGAUCAGCACUAGGAGGGACAAGUCCAUUACAGCUUUCAUCCAGGAGUUAAACUAGCACAUUCGUUGCUAGGAGAACCAGAUGUGCGCAUGCAUGAUAGAUCUAAAGAAGGCAAUGACUAGGAUUUUGGAGCUAGAGGAGGAACUCAAGUCUACACGCGACGAAUAUGAGGAGGAAAUGAUGAUACUAGUGGAGAAGAAUGACCACUUGACAAGGAAGCUAGGAGUAUUCAUGGGAGACCCCGCGCCAGGAGGAGAUGAUGACGAUUCCAAGGACAUUCAUUCGGAGGACUACAUCAUCAUCGACGACACCGACUCAGACCCCGACAAUAGCAAUGAUGACUAUGUUGAUGAAGCUGGAGCGGAUAUCAUGGAGUCUUCUACUGAUUAAAACUUCUAGUCGACCACCAUAUCAGUAGUAGUAUUCACCCGUGUAUAUAGUAUAGUCCGAGCACUUUUGUAAUGAUAGUUAGACCAAUUGUAUGCCCUUGUUUGAAUUGAUUGAAGUGAUAUGAUUGUGUUUGUCUCAUGUGCAUAUGGGUAGUGUUUUCCCUAUAGACCUUAUUCUAUUCUGUUUUCUCACCUUUUCUAAACCCAUCAGAUGCCUCCAAGACGCGACAAUGGAUUUGCUUUUCCACCGGAGCUCACUUAGUUGAUCCAGCAGUAGAAUACCCUGAUGCAGCUACUAGUUCAGAAUCAGAACCAAGGGAACAACAACAACAACAACCCACCACCACCACCACCUGUUGAUCACUUAGCCCGUUUCCUAAGGCUGAAUCAGCCGGUGUUCUCUAGUAGCACUGAGCCGAUUGUUGCAGAUGAUUGGCUCCGCAAGAUUGGAAGGGAGUUGAGCACUGCAGGAUGCACAGAUGCGGAGAGAGUGCGUUUUGCCGCACAUCAGCUUGAUGGACCCGCAUCAUCAUGGUGGGAUAAUUUCACACCCACUUACCCCAUUGACACUAUUACAUGGGACCAAUUUCAGCAGGCUCUCCGCAUUGCCGAUGUUUCAACUGGAGCUAUGAACAUGAAGAAGCGCGAGUUUCGCAACUUGCGCCAAGGAGGACGCAUAGUGGGCCAAUAUGUGGAUGAGUUUAGUAAGUUAGCAUGUUAUGCCCCUGAUGACGUAGCUAUAGAUGCCGCUAAGCAGGAGAGGAUUCUGGAAGGACUGAAUGAUGAGCUGAGCAUGUAGUUGAUGGUGGCAAACUCAACAACUACCAGGAGUUGGUAGACAAAGCUCUUAUGAUUGAAGGGAAGCAGCAGCAGAUAGACAACCGCAAGAGGAAAUAUGGACAAGGGAAGUACAAUUCAGGAGUUCAGCAGAGGCCUCGUUUUACCCCGAACUCGGGAGGACACAUUCACCAAAACCGUGGAGGCCAUAAUUCCAAUGAAAGAAGUUCGCAUAAUCAUAGUGGCCCCAAGAAUGGGAAUGGGAAUGGAGGAAGCAACGGCCAGAACCAUUCCAACCCAGCAAAGCCCACCAAGAAGAAUCUAAGUCACAUUACUUGUUUCAAGUGCGGGAAGAAUGGACAUUACGCCACGGAGUGUUCUGAAGCAAAGAAUGGAAAUGGCGAUGGAAGCUCUGGGAAGAAGCCCAACCCUUUUAACAGAGGUCAAGUGAACCACGUUAGCGUGGAGGAGGUUGAAGCGCAACCCGAUGCAGUUAUAGGCAAGUUUUUGGUUAAGUCAUUUACUAUAAUCGUUCUUUUUGAUAUUGGUGCAUCACAUUCAUUCAUAUCAAGGGGAUUUGUGGAUAAGUAUAACUUGCCAACCCAAGCCCUUACGUCGCCCAUGUUAGUAACCUCGCCAAGAGCAGAGUAUAUGGCCAGCCUAUGGUGUGAUCGGUUACCAUUAAGGAUUGGUAACUACAUGUUCCCCUCAGACCUAAUAAUAUUGGAAUCACGAGGACUGGAUGUAAUAUUAGGCAUGGAUUGGUUAUGAAAGUAUGGAGGGAACAUUGACUGCGCCAGUAAGUCAAUUAUGCUCACCACCCCAGAAGGAAGAAGGAUAAAGUAUGUAUCCCGGCAUGUGCCGAAGAGGACUCAAGUGAAUUCCUUAUCAGGAGUUGUACAUGAGGAAGUACCAGUGGUGAACGAUUUCCUUGACGUAUUUCCAGAGGAGUUGCCAGGCAAGCCACCGGAUCGAUACAUUGAGUUUUUGAUUGAACUUUUGCCAGGCACCGAGCCUAUAUCAAAGAGACCCUAUCGGAUGCCCACACAUGAUUUGGAGGAAAUUAAGAAGCAGACUAAGAAGUUACUGGAUAAAGGUUAUAUUCUCCCAAGUUCGUCACCUUGGGGAUCCCCGGUACUUCUCGUGGAGAAGAAGGAUGGAUCAUUAAGGAUGGUUGUUGAUUAUCGUGCAUUGAAUGAAGUGACAAUCAAGAACAAGUACCCACUGUCGAUGAUCAAUGAUUUGUUUGACCAGUUGCAAGGAGCUGAAGUAUUUUCAAAGAUCGAUCUACGAUCAGGAUACCACCAACUGAAGAUUUGAGAGCAGGAUAUACCUAAGACAACUUUUACCACAAGGUACGAGCUAUAUGAGUAUACUGUUAUGUCAUUUGGUUUGACUAACGCUCCUGCAUAUUUCAUGAACAUGAUGGACAAGGUGUUUAUGGAGUUUUUGGAUAAGCUCAUCGUAAUGUUCAUUGAUGAUAUAUUGGUCUACUCAAAGAAUGAAGAGGAGCAUAAGGAGCAUUUGCGUUUGGUUCUCGAGAAGCUCAGGGAACAUCAGUUAUAUGCCAAGUUCAGCAAGUGUGAGUUUUGGUUGAAGGAAGUUGGAUUCCUCGGACAUGUUAUAUCCGGAGAAGGAAUAGCAAUAGACCCCACCAAGGUGGUCACUGUGACUAAAUGGGUAGCACCCACGUCGGUUGGAGAGAUCCGGAGUUUUCUUGGACUCGCAGGAUAUUACCGGAGGUUCAUUGAGAAUUCCUCCAAGAUUGCAAAGCCCAUGAUAGAGUUAUUGAAGAAGGACACCAAGUUCAAAUGGACUGAGGAGUGUGAAGCCAGUUUUCAGGAGUUGAAGAAACGUUUGCUUACAACCCCGGUGUUGAUUCUUCCAGAUCAACACAAGGAUUAUCAAGUGUAUUGUGACGCUUCUCAUCGAGGACUUGGAGCAGUGCUUAUGCAGGAGGGGAGAGUUGUUUCAUAUGCCUCACGACAGCUUGGACCUCAUGAGCAAAAUUAUGCUACACACGGUUUGGAGUUAGCAGCCGUAGUGCAUGCGUUGAAGACAUGGAGACAUUUUCUCAUUGGAAACCAUUGUGAGGUGUACAUGGAUCACAAGAGUUUGAAAUAUAUCUUCACGCAGAAGGAGUUGAAUUCAAGCAAAGGAGAUGGUUGGAGCUCAUUAAGGAUUAUGAUGUGAAGUUGCACUACCGUCCCGAAAAGGCUAACAUAGUAGCAGAUGCGUUGAGUCGCAAGAGUCAUGUCAAUACACUCAUGACCGGAGGAUUACCCAAGGAGUUAGUAGAGGAUCUUCGCGAGCUAUGUUUGGAAAUAGUUCCGAGAGGUUUUGUAGCAGCAUUGGAAAUUCAGUCUACUUUGAUGGAUAAGAUCAGACAAGCUCAGAAGACUGAUAAGGAGAUUUCUGAGAUAAAGGAGAGGAUGAGCAAAGGAAAGGCUAAAGGAUUUUGUGAGGAUGAGCACAGUACCUUAUGGUUUGAGGAUCGCGUAUAUGUGCCUAAUGACCCCAAGAUCAGGAAGUUGAUUCUGCAGGAGGCCCAUGAUUCGUCGUAUUCGAUUCACCCAGGAAACACCAAGAUGUAUCUGGAUUUUAAGGACAGUUUCUGGUGGACCGGAAUGAAGAAAGAUAUUGCGGAGUAUGUAGCAGUAUGUGAUGUAUGUCAGAGAGUAAAGGCAGAGCGUUAGAAGCCAGCAGGUUUGCUACAGCCACUGCCGAUACCCGAAUGGAAGUGGGACAAGCUAGGCAUGGAUUUUAUCACGGGAUUUCCCAGAACUCGUUCAGGCUAUGACUCGAUAUGGGUUGUAGUCGAUCGGUUGACGAAGGUAGCUCAUUUCAUCCCAGUGAAGACAACUUACACCAGUGCUAAGUUGGCAAAGAUAUACAUGACCAGGAUCGUAUGUCCGCACGGAGUUCCGAGGACCAUUGUAUCAGAUAGAGGAACCCAAUUUACCUCAAAGUUUUGGAAUCAGUUGCAUGAGACUUUGAGUACUAGGCUAGAGUUCAGUACAGCCUUUCAUCCACAGACAGACGGACAGACCGAGAGAAUAAAUCAGAUUCUGGAGGACAUGUUGAGAGCUUGUGCGCUAGAUUAUGGAUCUAGUUGGGAUGACAGUUUGCGGUAUGCAGAAUUCUCUUACAACAAUACCUAUCAAGCCAGUUUGAAGAUGGCACCUUUCGAAGCCUUGUACGGAAGGAGGUGUAGGACACCGUUGCUAUGGGAUGGAGUUGGAGAUCGUCAGUUGUUUGGACCAGAUUUUAUUAAAGAGUCUGAAGAGAAGGUUAAACUGAUUCGCGAUAGACUCAAGGUAGCCCAGUAUAGGCAGAAGAGCUAUGAGGAUUCUAAACGCAAAGAGAAAGUUUACGAAGCCAGAGACAGAGUAUAUCUUCGUGUGUCCCCACUUCGAGGAGUUAAGCGUUUUGGAGUUAAGGGGAAGUUAGCACCACGUUUAGUGGGACCAUACAAAGUCUUGGAACGUAUGGGAGAAGUUGCUUACAAACUAGAAUUGCCAGAAGGAUUGUCAGGAGUUCACGAUGUGUUCCACAUUUCCCAGUUGAAGAAGUGCCAAGCAGAGAUGGUCGACAUUCCUCUGAGAGAUAAAGUGCCAUUGGAAGCGAUUCAGCUGGAUAGCGAUUUGACUUACGAGGAGAAACCCGUGAAGAUUCUCGAGUUUGCCAGCCGAGUCACAUGCAGUAAGGUUAUCAAGUUUUGAAAAGUUUAGUGGAGCCACCACACCGAGGAUGAAGCCACCUGGGAACGAGAGGAAGACCUACGGAAGGACCACCCGCACCUAUUUCCUAGCCAACCCGAAUCUCAAGGGUGAGAUUCAUCUUAAGGGAGGUAGGUUUGUAACAUCCCAAAUUUUCAAUUCGGAAUGUUAUACAUAGGUCAUCAUUGCAUAUCAUAUUUUAUUGCAUUUUGGUUGAUCCUAGAAAUUCUAAGCAACUCAAGGACCCAUAGAGAGAGUUGGGAAUUUCAUUAUUUUCAUAUUUGAGUUUUCUCAAAUUUUGAAAAGAGGAUCAUUUGGUUUUAAUCAUUUUCUCUUCGAAUAUUUUUAAUAUGAAAAUAAAAGAGAGGGGAUAAAAUGACUUAUCCAAAUAAAAGAAAUAUUGGAGGAAAAAUAUUAAAAUCAAAUAAGAAUUUUAUUUGGACUUUUAUUGCUAUUUUAUUCGAAUUAGGAAAAAAAAUGCGUUUUUCAAAAUUGCAUUAGUGGCCCAAAUAAAUGUUCACUUUGUCCGCAAUGUUAUUAGAGGACCGUGAAAAUUUAUUUCAGGAUUUUUGGACGCCCUUUAGAAUUUCUUUUGUUUGUUUUUCUGCAUUAGAUUUUUUUUAAAGUGCACCGACCUAAACGGGCCGUGCCCGACCCGGACACUGCCCGGCAAGGCCUUUAAAGCCCGAUGCCCGACCCCGCCGGCAGCCCAAGCCGCCACCCCGCUGCCAAACCCUAGCGCCGCCGCCGCCGAUCGCCGCCUCAGCCGGAGUCGCCGCCGCCGCCGGACCUCGCCGAGGUAGCCGUCGCCACCGUCCCGGUUUUCUUGGAAAAACUGACGGUUUUUUAACCCUAGAUCUAGCUUUUUUUUAGAUCGGUUUGUUUUUUUUGAUUUAGUUAAAUAGCGGGUGUUCGUCCAUACGUUCGUUUUAACGAACAUUGUUCAUCAGUUAGCCGCAGACAGCGAACGUUCGUUCGUUAGCCUGUUCGUCUCGUUUGUUUUCUCUAGGUUUUUUCCGCGAUUAUUUUCGAUCGCAAUUUCUGCCCUGAUCUUUGUUUCAGUUUAUCUUUUCGCUCGUUUAUCUGAAUCAGGUGAAACAAGCGCCUAGAUCUUCGUCUCGAAGCCCUCUUUCUGUUUAAACAACUUGAAUAAGAUUUUGGUACUGUAAAAUUUGACUUUAGUCUAGAUUAGUAAACGAAUCUUGUUUCUUUCGUAGACUGAGUUUCGUUGCUCUGUUUGAUUUGAUUCUUUUUGCAAACCGGAGUUCUUCAGUUGAACUUUAUAGUUAGAUCUUCUUAUUUGAUUUUUACCCAUGCUUCUAGUUGAGUGCUUAUGUAUAUUAUUGUUUGUUUGCGAUAGAAUUCCCGGAGUGCGAAGGGUGCUACUACGAGUCUCUAGGUUUUGCGGAUCAUCAGCAAGGCAAGUAACACUUUGAUCAUACCUCUUUAUUACCCAUUUUUUAUGCAUUAGUCUCAACCCUCAAACAUUUCAUGGUUAGGCUUUGUUUUAACAUUUGGUUUGGGAAGUAGAUGAUGAGGUAGAACCUAUUGCCCUUUUAUUAUCAAACCUUUGAGAGUUACUUAUAUGUUAUGCUCAGGAUUGCUAUGCUAUGCUCAUAGACGUGGAUUGGGUGAGUGUAUCCAUGACAGAUGUGAGUAUUGUUAAUUAAUGGUUAACAUAAGGUGGCUAUUUAAAUACACAUCUGGGUGGAUUGGUUGAGGCACCCUCGAGUACCCAGUGGUUGUGAGGGCACCUGGAGAAUCCAGUGUUGUCCUAGGAUAUCCCCGAGUACCCGUGUGAUUAUCCUACAGUUCGCCACCCAGGCUCAAAGGGAUCAUAAGAUUAUUCAUGCUAGAAACUUAUGUGUGCAGCCACAAGCCAAUAUGGGCUCUUCCAUAGUUGAGUAUAUUGUAUGACCUCUUUCAGUGGUUGACUAGCAGAUGUAGGGGAUGUAGGUGGUACUGUCUACCCAGACUAAAGAGUUAAUGCUUCUAAAAGACUAUGUCUCGGUCAUCCAUUUCUCAAACAUCAUGUAGUGCGAUAAAUAUAAUGGAGGAGAUCGAGUCUUGUGGGGAAAAGUGUGCAAACCUCUGCAGAGUGUACAAACUAAUCAUGGUUAGCCGUGUCCCCGGUUAUGGACAUCUUGAGUAUCUGGUUCUUGGAUUAUCAUGUUAAUCUCAUCACUGUAAAUCAAUUUGAUUGGGUUAAUUGAUGUUGCCUAAUUGGAAUUGAGUUGGAGGAACCUUCUUAAUGUUUAAAAACCACCAUGAUAGUUAAAUAAAAUUUAUUUCUUUAUUGUAGGAAAAAAUUGGCUUUAUGCAAAAAAUGUAACCAUAGAGCUUUCCACCAGCCAUACAUGCAUGUAGUGAUAGCAUUUAUUCUAUUUGUUACUCUAUGUGUUACAUUGCCAGCAUAUUCCAUGUGCUGACCCAUUUCGAGCUGCAACAUAUCAUGUUGCAGACUUUUCAGACGACGAGUAAGGUGCCAUAGGUCGUUGUCAUUCACUCAGCUAUGCCGUUGGAGUUGAUGGACUCACUUUAUCUUCCAAACCUUCCGCUGUUAUUUUAGAUGGCCUUAAGCCAUAUUAUUGUAAUAAGUCCUCUUUUGAGACAUUCCAUGUAAUAAGUGUGUGAUUGGAACUCUGUUAUAAAUCCUCAAGUACUCUGUGUGUCAGCAUUACCGAUCCAGGGAUGACAUUGAUGCACAGAGACUAGACUGUUUGAGGUCUGGUCGCUACACUAGGUUUCGGUCCAGAUACUAGGUACUACUAGAUAUCAAUCUCAUAAGGCAUUAUAGGUACUAGGUAGUACUCCCUCCGUUCCAAAUUACUUGUUUUGGUUCAAACCACGACGAGUAAUUUGGAACGAAGGGAGUACUAGAUAACAAUUUCAUAUAUAGUCAACAUGCAUCCUCAAGCAGUACUAGGUGAUAUCGACCACGAUCAUCAUAUGUAGUUCUAGAUGAUAUCAACGACGAUCAUCAUGAAGGAAAUAUGCCCUAGAGGCAAUAAUAAAGUUAUUAUUUAUUUCCUUAUUUCAUGAUAAAUGUUUAUUAUUCAUGCUAGAAUUGUAUUAACCGGAAACAUAAUACAUAUGUGGAUACAUAGACAAACAUAGUGUCACUAGUAUGCCUCUACUUGACUAGCUUGUUAAUCAAAGAUGGCUAAGUUUCCUAACCAUAGACAUGAGUUUUCAUUUGAUUAACGGGAUCAUACCAUUAGGAGAAUGAUGUGAUUGACUUGACCCAUUCUGUUAGCUUAGCACUUGAUCGUUUAGUAUGUUGCUAUUGCUUUCUUCAUGACUUAUACAUGUUCCUAUGACUAUGAGAUUAUGCAACUCCCGUUUACCGGAGGAACACUUUGUGUGCUACCAAACAUCACAACAUAACUGGAUGAUUAUAAAGGUGCUCUACAGGUGUCUCCAAAGGUACUUGUUGAGUUGGCGUAUUUCGAGAUUAGGAUUUGUCACUCCGAUUGUCGGAGAGGUAUCUCUGGGCCCUCUCGAUAAUGCACAUCACUAUAAGCCUUGCAAGCAAUGUGACUAAUGAGUUAGUUGCGGGAUGAUGCAUUACAUAACGAGACUUGCCGGUAACGAGAUUGAACUAGGUAUUGAGAUAUCGAUGAUCGAAUCUCGGGCAAGUAACAUACUGAUGACAAAGGGAACAGCGUAUGUUGUUAUGCGGUUUGACCGAUAAAGAUCUUCAUAGAAUAUGUGGGAGCCAAUAUGAGCAUCCAGGUUCCGCUAUUGGUUAUUGACCGGAGACGUGUCUCGGUCAUGUCUAUAUAGUUCUCGAACCCGUAGGGUCCGCACGCUUAAUGUUCGGUGACGAUUUAUAUUAUGAGUUAUGUGUUUUGAUGUACCACCGAAGGUAGUUCGGAGUCCCGGAUGAGAUGAGAUCGGGGACAUGACGAGGAGUGUCGAAAUGGUCGAGACGUAAAGAUCGAUAUAUUGGACGACUAUAUUUGGACAUCGGAAAGGUUCCGAGUGAUUCGGGUAUUUAUCGGAGUACCGGAGAGUUACGGGAAUUGGCCGGGUAGUGUAUGGACCUUAUUGGGCCUUAGUGGAAUAGAGGAGGAGGAAGCCCAGGAGCCCCCCCCAAGCCCAAUCCAAAUUGGGUGAGGGGGCCGGCCCCCCUUUCCUUCUUCUCUCCCUCAUCUUUCCUACCUCUCCUACUCCAACUUGGAAGGGGGGGAUCCUACUCCCGGUGGGAGUAGGACUCCCCUAUGGCGCGCCCAAGAGAGGGCAGGCUCUCCCCCCCUCUACUCCUUUAUAUACGGGGGAAGGGGGCACCCCAUAGACACACAAGUUGAUCUGUUGAUCUCUCCCAGCCGUGUGCGAUGCCCCCCUCUACCAUAUUCCACCUCGGUCAUAUCGUAGCGGUGCUUAGGUGAAGCCCUGCAUCCGUAGAAACAUCAUCACCAUCAUCACGCCAUUGUGCUGACGGAACUCUCCCGUGAAGCUCUGUUGGAUCGGAGUUCGCGGGACAUCAUCGAGCUGAACAUGUGCUAAACUCGGAGGUGCCGUACGUUCGGCACUUGGAUCGGUCGGAUCAUGAAGACGUACGACUAAAUCAACCGCGUUGUGCUAACGCUUCCGCUUUCGGUCUACGAGGGUACGUGGACUCACUCUCCCCACUCGUUGCUAUGCAUCACCAUGAUCUUGCAUGUGCAUAGGAAAAUUUUGAAAUUACUACGUUCCCCAACAGUGGUAUCAGAGCCAGGUUUAUGCGUAGAUGUUAUAUGCACGAGUAGAACAUAAGUGAGUUGUGGGCGAUACAAGUCAUACUGGUUACCAGCAUGUCAUACUUUGAUUCGGUGGUAUUGUUGGAUGAAGCGGCCCAGACCGACAUUACGUGUACGCUUACGCGAGACUGGUUCUACCGACGUGCUUUGCACACAUGUGGCUAGCGGGUGUCGGUUUCUCCAACUUUAGUUGAAUCGAGUGUGGCUAUGCCCGGUCCUUGUGAAGGUUAAAACAACACUAACUUGACGAAAUAUCAUUGUGGUUUUUAUGCGUAGGUAAGAACGGUUCUUACUAAGCCCGUAGCAGCCACGUAAAACUUGCAACAACAAAGUGGAGGACGUCUAACUUGUUUUUGCAGGGCAUGUUGUGAUGUGAUAUGGUCAAGACGUGAUGAGAUAUAAGUUUUUGUAUGAGAUGAUCAUGUUUUAUUGAAGUUAUCGGCAACUGGCAGAAGCCUUAUGGUUGUCUCUUUAUUGCAUAAGAUGCAAGCGCCAAAUAAUUGCUUUACUUUAUCGCUAUGCGAUAGCAAUAGUUGCAAGAGCAAUAGUUGGUGAGACGACCAUGUGAUGACACAUUGAUAUAGAUCAAGAUGAUGGAGAUUAUGGUGUCAUGCCGGUGAUGAUGGAGAUCAUGACGAUGCUUUGGAGAUGGAGAUCAAAGACACAAGAUGAUGAUGGCCAUAUCAUGUCACAUAUUUUGAUUGCAUGUGAUGUUUAUCUUUUAUACAUCUUAUUUUGCUUUGAUUGACGGUAUCAUUAUAAGAUGAUCUCUCACUAAAUUUCAAGGUAUAAGUGUUCUCCCUGAGUAUGCACCGUUGCCAAAGUUCGUCGUGCCGAGACACCACGUGAUGAUCGGGUGUGAUAAGCUCCAUGUUCAUCUACAACGGGUGCAAGCCAGUUUUGCACACGCAAAUUACUCGGGUUAAACUUGACGAGCCUAGCAUAUGCAGAUAUGGCCUCGGAACACUGGAGACUGAAAGGUCGAGCGUGAAUCAUAUAGUAGAUAUGAUCAACAUAGUGAUGUUCACCAUUGAAAACUACUCCAUCUCACGUGAUGAUCGGACAUGGUUUAGUUGAUUUGGAUCACGUGAUCACUUAGAUGAUUAGAGGGAUGUCUAUCUAAGUGGGAGUUCUUAAGUAAUAUGAUUAAUUGAACUUUAAUUUAUCAUGAACUUAUUCCUGAUAGUAUUUUGCAAAUAAUGUUGUAGAUCAAUAGCUCAUGUUGUUGCUUCCCUAUGUUUUAUAUGUGUUCCUAGAGAAAACUAAGUUGAAAAAUGAUAGUAGCAAUAAUGCGGACUGGGUCUGUGAUCUGAGGUUUAUCCUAAUUGUUGCACAGAAGAAUUAUGUCCUUGAUGCACCGCUAGGUGAUAGACCUAUUACAGGAGCAGAUGCAGACGCUAUGAACGUUUGGCUAGCUCAAUAUGAUGACUACUUGAUAGUUUAGUGCACCAUGCUUAACGGCUUAGAAUCGGGACUUCAAAGACGUUUUGAACGUCAUGGGCCAUAUGAGAUGUUCCAGGAGUUGAAGUUAAUAUUUCAAGCAAAUACCCGAGUUGAGAGAUAUGAAGUCUCCAACAAGUUCUAUAGCUAAAAGAUGGAGGAGAAUUGCUCAACUAGUGAGCAUGUGCUCAGAUUGUGUGGGUACUACAAUCACUUGAAUCAAGUGGGAGUUAAUCUUCUAGAUAAGAUAGUGAUUGACAGAGUUCUCUAGUCACCAUGACCAGGUUACUAGAACUUCGUGAUGAACUAUAGUAUGCAAGGGAUGACGAAAAUGACUCCCGAGCUCUUCGUGAUGUUGAAAUCGACGAAGGUAGAAAUCAAGAAAGAGCAUCAAGUGUUGAUUAUUUACAAGACCACUAGUUUCAAGAAAAGGGCAAAGGGAAAGAAAGGGAACUUCAAGUAGAAUGACAAGCAAGUUGUCACUCCCGUGAAGAAGCCCAAAGCUGGACCAAAGCCUGAAACUGAGUGCUUCUACUGCAAAGGAAAUGGUCACUGGAAGCGGAAAUGCCCUGAAUAUUUGGUGGAUAAGAAGGAUGGCAAAGUGAACAAUGGUAUAUUUGAUAUACAGGUUAUUGAUGUGUACCUUACUAGUGUUUAUAGUAGCCCCUUGGUAUUUGAUACUUGUUCGGUCGCUAAAAUUAGUAACUCAAAACAGGAGUUACAGAAUAAACAGAGACUAGUUGAGGGUGAAGUGAUGAUGUGUGUUGGAAGUGGUUCCAAGAUUGAUAUGAUCAUCAUCACAAACUCCCUAUACUUUCGAGAUGAGUGUUGAACCUAAAUAAAUGUUAUUUGGUGUUUGCGUUGAGCAUAAAUAUGAUUAGAUCACGUUUAUUGCGAUACGAUUAUUCAUCUAAGACAAAGAAUAAAUUUUUAUUCUGUUUACAUGAAUAAAACCUUCUAUGGUCAUACACCCAAUGUUGAUGGUUUAUUGAAUCUUGAUCGUAGUGAUACACAUAUUCAUAAUAUUGAUGCCAAAAGAUGCAAAGUUGAUAAUGAUAGUGCAACAUACUUGUGGCACUGCCAUUUAGGUCAUAUUGGUGUAAAGCGCAUGUAGAAACUCCAUGCAAAUGGACUUUUGGAGUCACUUGAUUAUGAAUCAUUUUAUACCUACGAACCAUGCCUCAUGGUCAAGAUGACUAAAGCUCCAUUCUCCGAAACAAUGGAGCGAGCUAAUGACUUAUUGGAAAUAAUACAUACCGAUGUAUGCAGUCCAAUGAGUGUUGAUGCUUGUGGUGGGUAUCGUUAUUUUCUGACCUUCACAGAUGAUUUGAGCAGAUAUGGGUAUAUCUACUUAAUGAAACACAAGUCUGAAACAUUUGAAAAGUUCAAGGAAUUUUAGAGUGAAGUGGAGAAUCAUCGUAACAAGAAAAUAAAGUUUCUACGAUCUGAUCGUAGAGGAGAAUAUUUGAGUUACGAGUUUGGACUUCAUUUAAAACAAUGUGAAAUAGUUUCAUAGCUCACGCCACAUGGAACACCACAGCGUAAUGGUGUGUCCAAAUGUUGUAACCACACAUUAUUGGAUAUGGUGUGAUCUAUGAUGUCUCUUACCAGGUUACCACUAUCGUUCUGGGGUUAUGCAUUAGAGACAACUACAUUCACGUUAAACAGGGCACCAUCGAAAUCCGUUGAGACGACGCCUUAUUGAACUAUGGUUUGGCAAGAAACCAAAGUUGUCAUUUCUUAAAGUUUGGGGCUGCGAUGCUUAUGUGAAAAAGCUUCAACCUGAUAAGCUCGAACCCAAAUCGUAGAACUGCGUCUUCAUAGGAUACCCAAAGGAAACUGUUGGGUACACCUUCUAUCACAGAUCCGAAGGCAAGAUAUUCAUUGCUAAGAAUGGAUCCUUUCUAGAGAAGGAGUUUCUCUCGAAAGAAGUGAGUGGAGGAAAGUAGAGCUUGAUGAGGUAACUGUAACUUCUCCCGAAUUGGAAAGUAGUUCAUCACAGAAAUCAGUUCCAGUGAUUCCUACACCAAUUAAUGAGGAAGCUAAUGAUGAUGAUCAUGAAACUUCAGAUCAAGUUACUACAGAACCUCAUAGGUCUUCCAGAGUACGGUCCGCACCAAAGUGGUACGGUAAUACUAUUAUGGAAAUCAUGUUACUAGACCAUGAUGAACCUACAAACUAUGAGGAAAGCAAUGAUGAGCCUAGAUUCCACGAAAUGGCUUGAGGCCAUAAAAUCUGAGAUGGGAUCCAUGUAUUAGAACAAAGUGUGGACUUUGGUGGACUUGCCCGAUGAUCGGCAAACCAUAUUAAAUAAAUAGGAUUUUCAAGAGGAAGACAGACACUGAUACUAGUGUUACUAUCAACAAAGCUCGACUUGUCAGAAAAGGUUUUCGACAAGUUCAAGGUGUUGACUACAAUGAUAUUUUCUCAAGUGUAGCGAUGCUUAAAUCCGUCCGAAUCAUGUUAGCAGUUGCCAUAUUUUAUGAAAUCUGGCAAAUGGAUGUCAAAACUACAUUCCUUAAAUGGAUAUUUCUUAAAGAAGAGUUGUAUAUGAUGCAACCAGAAGGUUUUGUCAAUCCUAAAGGUACUAACAAGGUGUGCAAGCUCCAGCGAUCCAUCUAUGGACUGGUGCAAGCAUCUCAGAUUUGGAAUAUACACCCUGAUGACUUGAUCAAAGCAUGUAGUUUUAUAUAGACUUGCAGUGAAGCCUGUAUUUACAAGAAAGUGAGUGGGAGCUCUGUAGCAUUUCUAAUAUUAUAUGUGGAUGACAUAUUGUUGAUUGGAAAUAAUACAGAAUUUCUGGGUAGCAUAAAGGGAUACUUGAAUAACAUUUUUUCAAUGAAAGACCUCGGUGAAGCUGCUUACAUAUUGGGCAUCAAGAUCUAUAGAGAUAUAUCAAAGACGCUUAAUUGGACUUUUACCUUGGUAAAGUUUUGAAGAAGUUCAAAAUGGAUCAGUCAAAGAAAGGGUUCUUGCAUGUAUUACAAGGUGUAAAGUUGAGUAAGACUCAAAGCCCGACCACGACAGAAAAUAGAAAAAAAAUAAAGUCAUUCCCUAUGCCACAGUCAUAGGUUCUAUAAAGUAUGUAUCCAGAUUGGUGUUAAAUCACAUGGUGAUGUGAACUAGAUUAUUGACUCUAGUGCAAGUGGGAGACUGAAGGAAAUUUGCCCUAGAAAGUUAUUAUUUAUUUCCUUAAUUCAUGAUAAAUGUUUAUUAUUCAUGCUAGAAUUAUAUUAACUGGAAACAUAGUACAUGUGUGAAUACAUAGACAAAACUUAUAGUCCCUAGUAUGCCUCUACUUGACUAGCUCGUUAAUCAAAGAUGGUUAUGUUUCCUAACCAUAGACAUGUGUUGUCAUUUGAUGAACGGGGUCACAUCAUAAGGAGAAUGAUGUGAUGGACAUGACCCAUCCGUUAGCUUAGCAUUAUGAUCGUUACAGUUUCAUUGCUACUUCUCUCUUCAUGACUUAUACAUGUUCCUCAGACUAUGAGAUUAUGCAACUCCCGAAUACCGGAGGAACACUUUGUGUGCUACCAAACGUCACAACAUAAAUGGGAGAUUAUAAAGGUGCUCUACAGGUGUCUCCGAAGGUGUUUGCCGGGUUAGCAUAAAUCGAGAUUAGGAUUUGUCACUCUGUGUUUCGGAGAGGUAUCUCUGGGCCCUCUCGGUAAUACUCAUCACUAUAAGCCUCGCAAGCAUUGUGACUAAUGAGUUAGUUGCGGGAUGAAGUAUUACAGAACGAGUAAAGAGACUUGCCGGUAAUGAGAUUGAACUAAGUAUUGAGAUACCGACGAUCAAAUCUCGGGCAAGUAACAUACCGAUGACAAAGGGAACAACGUAUGUUGUUAUGCGGUUUGACCGAUAAAGAUCUUCGUAGAAUAUCUAGGAGCCAAUAUGAGCAUCCAUGUUCCGCUAUUGGUUAUUGACCAGAGAUGUGUCUCGGUCAUGUCUACAUAGUUCUCGAACACGUAGGGUCCGCACGCUAAACGUUCGAUGAUGAUAUGUAUUAUGAGUUAUGUGUUUUUGAUGACCGAAGUUUGUUCGGAGUCCCGGAUGAGAUCACGGACAUGACGAGGAGUCUUGAAAUGGUCGAGACAUAAAUAUUGAUAUAUUGGACGACUAUAUUCAAACAUAGGAAGUGUUCCAGAGAAGUUUCAGAUAAAACUGGAGUGUCGGAGGGUUACCGGACCCCCCCCGAGGGAACUAAUGGGCCUCGAUGGGCCUUAGUGNNNNNNNNNNNNNNNNNNNNNNNNNNNNNNNNNNNNNNNNNNNNNNNNNNNNNNNNNNNNNNNNNNNNNNNNNNNNNNNNNNNNNNNNNNNNNNNNNNNNNNNNNNNNNNNNNNNNNNNNNNNNNNNNNNNNNNNNNNNNNNNNNNNNNNNNNNNNNNNNNNNNNNNNNNNNNNNNNNNNNNNNNNNNNNNNNNNNNNNNNNNNNNNNNNNNNNNNNNNNNNNNNNNNNNNNNNNNNNNNNNNNNNNNNNNNNNNNNNNNNNNNNNNNNNNNNNNNNNNNNNNNNNNNNNNNNNNNNNNNNNNNNNNNNNNNNNNNNNNNNNNNNNNNNNNNNNNNNNNNNNNNNNNNNNNNNNNNNNNNNNNNNNNNNNNNNNNNNNNNNNNNNNNNNNNNNNNNNNNNNNNNNNNNNNNNNNNNNNNNNNNNNNNNNNNNNNNNNNNNNNNNNNNNNNNNNNNNNNNNNNNNNNNNNNNNNNNNNNNNNNNNNNNNNNNNNNNNNNNNNNNNNNNNNNNNNNNNNNNNNNNNNNNNNNNNNUGCGUGAUCGUAAGAGUUUUUUUAAAAUUACCGCGCUCCCCAACAAUUUGUUCCGUUAAGGACAAACCUUAUUCAUGCCAUUAUUUCUUUGCUUAAUUUCCGAAGCAGCUCCUUGAUGCCUACAUAUAUAACCCGGUAAAAAAUUAAUGUGAAGUAGUAAGGUGGGACUAUUUAAUAAGUAAACAAAUAUGAAAAACAGGCUCGAGCAUGCUUCCCUUUGUCAGUCCCAUGGGCCGCAGCAGCCGUCCCGGCCCAGCACGCCCAUGCCCAUUGCCUCGGUCCGAGUAUGAUUGGUCUGCUAUUCUUAAGGAGCCAAACACCGAAAUUAACACACCCCUGAGCCCAGUCAAAUCCCAUGGAACACCUUUUUUCUCUGUUUUUUAAUUCAAACACACACACAGGGUCAUGUGGGUCAGAUCUAAAAAACGACGAUGAAUCGAACAAAAAACUGCAUGCUUUUAUCUAGUAUAAUCGGAUCAAAAUCACAUGAAUACUACCACCUUGGACGUGUAAUCGGAUCAAAAUCACAUGAAUAGUACCACUUUGGAUGUAGAAAAUAAUAUAGGUGAAAAAAAACUGAAAGCAUAAAUUCAUGAGAAGAAACGUAUUACGACGGUGAAUCCGACGGAGUCAACCUGUGCUUUAUUAUUAGGAAUAGAUAAGAAUCAAAUUUGUUCAUCAACAUAUGUAACUCCACAACGGUUGUGAAGCUAAAACUCCAUAUAUAAAGUGUUUCAUUUGUAUUUAAAAUUUAUUGUUUGCACGGAGAUUUUAACUAACAAAGCACACGUGCACGUGCCUUCGACUAGUACUACAUAGUGUACCAGUAAGACAACAUACGAACCGUUGGAUCUUUAUAGUCAGACGGUUGUAAAUUAAUUGAUUUGAAUUUGAGAAAUCAUGGUGUCACAUGUGCCGUUGGAUCUAGCGAUCCUAGGGCCAGUAUGCAAGGGAUUCGCGGUGUGACAAUUCUGCCCUGCCAUCCGCCCCAUCUGAUCCGACUCUCUUGCUACAGAACUUUUACGUGAGUUCCUAGCCAUCAAGACGAUGUUUUGUGAACUCCAGGCUAGAAGCAUCUCGAUUCAUGUGCAUACACAAUACUACUCUGUGCAAUUCAUCCUUCGGAUGCAUGCACGAAAGCAUUUUUUUUGCUUUUACUUCGUUGGAAAGAUUAAAUGUCAAUAUUGAUACCCGACCUUUCCGGCCGAAAUCACUAUUCUGACCUUGUCAGCGUUUCUUGUCGCAAACUGAACUCGACAUGAAAGUAUUUCACAGUUUGACCCUUUUAGAAACGCCAGAUACCGCGGCGUUUUUGAUUAACAUUGAAACGCUGACCCAGAUAGCGUGCAAACGAACAUGGAAACGCCAAGGCAGCUAGCGUUUCAGCCAUGGCCCACGGUCAGCCCGAGCCCGCUUUUGUCGCUGACGUGGCAUGCUUGAAACGCCAACGUCCCCGACGUUCUUGGCCUGGAUUAAGUAAUGCGCGCGGGAUCGCGGGGGCUGGACCCAGCCCACUCGCAGCCCUAGCGAAGAACUGACGGCGACCCCUCCCUCUUCUUCACCAAAUCCCUCCCAAAUCUUUUAUUUUGACCAUCAAGACGAGUAGAUCGGAGCAUCCCCGAGUUGCUUGAGGUAUUCUUUUCCCAAUCCUCCAUUUAUUUUCAUUCAAGAUUGGCUAUCGUAGAUGCAUUUUUUUCAAACAUGGUGGAACCCUAAGAUGAGUUGUUAGUGAUUUGUUUGAUGAAUAUUUUGUUUAGAAAGAAGACAUGUACUCCUUGUGUUGAAGUAUUCUUAGUGAACUUGUGUAGUAUUGGAUUUAUAGAUAGACCAUUUUUUGGAUUAGGUUGAACCUAUUAUUUGUUCAUAAUUAGUUGUAAUGGAUUCUUUGGGACAAAAUUGGUUGAAAAGAAUUGGUGUUGGUAAUGUGGUUCGUGAUUUGUAGUUGUUUCUCACACGAUUUUGUAUACGAUGUGGUCAUAGUUUUAAGCAUAUAUCAUAACAAAUCCAUUCACCUUAUUUUGUAGGAUGUUUGAGACGGAUAAAUAUCCGGGCCUUGAUGAUUAUUAUGAGGCGAAGCAUCAUGCUGUGCUAGUGGAAAGAGGGGAGGUAAUGAGAGCAUCUCUAGCAGACCCCGCAAAUCUCGCAAACCCGCAUAAGUCCGGCGAGUAUACGGGCUCGGCCCAAUUUUCUAGCCAGAACAGAGCUCGUAUACUCGUCCGGCCCAUAAACAAUUUUACCGCGGCCUGCAAACCGCCCAGCACAAGUUGUAUAUCUACGNNNNNNNNNNNNNNNNNNNNNNNNNNNNNNNNNNNNNNNNNNNNNNNNNNNNNNNNNNNNNNNNNNNNNNNNNNNNNNNNNNNNNNNNNNNNNNNNNNNNNNNNNNNNNNNNNNNNNNNNNNNNNNNNNNNNNNNNNNNNNNNNNNNNNNNNNNNNNNNNNNNNNNNNNNNNNNNNNNNNNNNNNNNNNNNNNNNNNNNNNNNNNNNNNNNNNNNNNNNNNNNNNNNNNNNNNNNNNNNNNNNNNNNNNNNNNNNNNNNNNNNNNNNNNNUCGAAACCCUAUCUGAGGGAGUCCCGGAUUAGGGGGUGUCCGGAUAGCCGAACUAUAACCUUUGGCCGGACUCCUGGACUAUGAAGAUACAAGAUUGAAGACUUCGUCCCGUGUCCGGAUGGGACUUUUCUUGGCGUGGAAGGCAAGCUUGGCGAUACGGAUAUGUAGAUCUCCUCCUAUUGUAACCGACUCCGUGUAACCCUAGACCUCUCCAGUGUCUAUAUAAACCGGAGGGUUUUAGUCCGUAGGACGAACAACAAUCAUACCAUAGGCUAGCUUCUAGGGUUUAGCCUCUCUGAUCUCGUGGUAGAUCUACUCUUGUACUACCCAUAUCAUCAAUAUUAAUCAAGCAGGACUAGGGUUUUAUCUCCAUCGAGAGGGCCCGAACCUGGGUAAAAACAUCGUGUCCCUUGUCUCCUGUUACCAUCCGCCUAGACGCACAGUUCGGAACCCCCUACCCGAGAUCCGCCGGUUUUAACACCAACACUAUCCCUCCACCGGCGUGUUCCACCGCGAUUCCCCACUGCCCUCUCGCAUUUCUCACUGCCGGCGAGCCCGCAUCCGCCUCGAAACACCAUGUGGAGCUUCGGUCGCGGCUCCGGCGAUCGCCACGACCCCUAGCGCGAGCGUCGUGUUCGCUCGGACGGCGCGAGCAAGCGAGGGGCCAAGAAGUGGAUGAACCGGGCCCUCUCGCCAUCGUCGAGGUUCCUCUGUCGCGAGACGGAGGAGUACGACCGUCAGCAGGCCGCGGGGUCCGCCGCCGGGGGCUCCUCCAUCGCGGGCUCCUCCGCCGCAGGCUCGAGAUCUGCCGCGUGGCUCACCCGCGCAGCGAGCUCUUCGUCUUCCAAUGCAAGGCUUCUCCAAGUGAAGAGGGAAUGGUCGGAGGAGCCGGAGGAGCCGCAGGAGCCCGAGGAGAUCGUGCACCACGGUGUGUCGGGCCUGAGGACUUCGUCGCCGAUGUCGACGUGUUCGCGGCUGCCAUUGCCGAAUGCAGCUUGCGCGAAGAGGCGGAGCACCAACGCCACCAUGGGGAGCUCGAAGACCUCAUGUUCCAGCAGGCGGUCGCGGCGAACCUUGGCGCCAAGGAGAAGGACGACGAGUGGCAGCGCAUCCGCGAGGAGCAGAAGAAGAAGUACAUCAACCUCGGCAACUCCGAUGAGGAGGAUUGAGCUCCUCCACCGCGUCGUCCAUGGUCGCGAGCUCGCCGUCGUGAUAUCCCCCCUACUACUAGUAGUGAAUGUAGUAUGUAAUAUGAACUAGUGUUUGUAACGAAUUAGUGUUUUAUCAUGUUGUAUAUGUAGUAUGUGAUGAACUACUAUGGUUGCAAUUUGUCCCGCAAAACUUUUUUUCAAAUUAUGCAGUUUCAUAUGCGGUUUUUGUUCUACCGCGCAUGUUUUCGACCCGCAAAUGAGAUCUUCGUCGACCUGUAAACGGCUUAUGCGGGUCGGGGUUUUGCGGGGUCUGCUAGAGAUGAUCUUAUGUAUCUACAUUGUUUGAUUAUCAUAUUUUUUGUAGUUUAGAGAACUAUCUAAGUUGUGUGUGUGUUUUUUGUAGGUUCCUCCAAUACUUCGGUUGAGAGGCCACAACCCACGUGAGUCUCUGAAGUAUGACCAUCGCUACGAGCCUUAUUUUAGAAAAAUGGAUCUUCUGCAGUUUGUGCUCAACUUUAAAGGCACACCACCAUGGCUGAACUCGACGGCCAUUACCGCCCUUACAGACCGUUGGAGGCCUAAGACGCACACUUUUCACCUUGCUCGUGAUGAGAUGACCGCCACUUUGGAGGAUAUUGCGAUGAUCUCUGGGCUUCCGAUCGAGGGCACGGCUCUUACCGAGAAGGUGAAGUCUGAGGGGUGGCAAUAACAGGUUGCAUGACUGGUUGGUGUUGAACCUCCCCCAUGGAUUCAUGAAACAAAGAAGGAUCCUAAGCCAUCCGGUGUUUUGUUCUCAUGGCUACAAGAACAUAUUUACGAGUGCCUAACAAAUGCCAGUCCGACCGUUGUGGAGAGGUAUGUCAGGGCUUACUUAUGGAAUCUUUUGACCCAAGUGGUGUUUCCUGACAGCACGGGAGACACGGCCUCGCGGAUGUUCUUGGACCCUCUUCAUAACUGGGAUGUUAAGUGGAGUUGGGGGUCGACGGCACUAGCCUUCUUGUACCGUUAGGUAAUGCUUACUAUGAUGCAUUCUCAUUAUAUGAAAGAGUUUUUUUGCAUGUGAUCAUUUAACAUGUGUACAAAUGUGCAGCUGGAUGGAGCAUGUAUGAGGAGUAAGCUGAAAUCUUGUCUUGGUGGUUUCAUUUGUGCCCUACAGAUUUGGAUGUGGGAGCGUAUCCCUGUGGGUCUUAACAUCACCAUUGCUCCGAAAGAACCUUGGGAGUGGCCUUAUGCCGGGGAUGAGGAGCGAUACCCAACUAUCGCAUACACGUGGGCUAAUGUCCAAGUGUCGAGUAUCGCAGCCAUGGGGUGGUACAAGGCAUACAUAAGCGAGCUUGACAUGCUUAGUUACAAUCAGGUAAUUAUCAAAUGCUUAGCAUGACAUGAUGUAGGUUAAUUGGAGGCCGUACAUGGUAAUUAUCAAAUGCUACAUGACAUGAUGUAGCAUACAUAAGAGAGCUUGACAUGCUUAGCUUGACAUGAUGUAGGUUAGUUGGAGGCCAUCAUGGUACUUAGGCAAUUUCCUUUGAGCAAUAUGUGCCUUCAUGCCAUGAUAUGCUUUUUUGUGGUCGAGUGGCAUCUUCCACAUCAUUUUUCGAAGCAAUUUGGAGUACAACAACGCACCCCGCCAGAGUACGUUGAGAGAAGUCCUUUUGUUGUGUGUCGUUUCAUUGCAACCACCGCAUUGGUUCCUAUCACGUGGCUCCAUGAAAUGUCCACUACCAAACUCUCUGGUGCUCAUGAGUUCAUCCAUAUCAUUCAUGUAUCGCUUUGAUCUCCUUCUACCAUUGGGUUGUACCAUCAUCCCUGGAUCGGGCCUAAUGUUAGGACUGUGAUACUCUGGCCACUAUGAUGCGUCUAGAAAAGGGUGGAAUCUAGACGCCCAUGUUAACUUAUGAGUUUGCAAGUUGAAUUCAUGCAACCUCACAAUUACUCCAUCAGAGACGGGAAAAUUCCUGGUGCGGGCCGCUGUCAUCACGUGUGAGCAUGGCUAGUGGUACUUACUAGGCCGCUCACAAGUGCAAUGUCUUGUCCGAAGAGCCAUCUUAAAUGAGCGACCACCAUAUGAUUGUCCAUCUAUGUUUGUCCCACUUGGCUCAUCCACUUGGUAUUUCAUUUCAACAUUAUUGAAACAAGUGACUCACUGGAUGGCUGACUUGUCUCUCUGAAACUCCAGCCACUCGGCAACCUUCCUCAGAUAAAUUUCAUUGGGAGGCUUCUCACUAUCAGCAAUCAACUUCUUGAUUUCAUCGGAGUGCUUUAGAAAAUACUCAUUUAGCUUGUAAAAGGUAUAUUCCGCCAUUGUCGUCACCGGCAACUAACGGGCACCCUUCAAGACAAAGUUAAAGCACUCAACAAGAUUGCUUGUCAUGUCACCAUAUCUCAUGCCUCCUUCAUCACAUGCCCGUGACCACUUGUGUCUCUCAUCAAUAUUCCUUUCUAAGAAAUCUUUCCCACUUUCGUCUGCCUUCUCAUAGAUUUUGUUCAAGCGUCUCGUGAAUAACUAAACGGAGAAGGCUACACAUGAGGAGUUAAGAUCCUUGCAAAGAUCCUUGUUCUUAAAAGCCUGUGAAAGUUUGCAACGAAGUGCCUCAUACACCACUGGUGGUGAAGCCUCGGAUGCCCUGGAAUGUGAAUAUCCACGGCCUUCAAUAUGCCUUGGUGCCGAUCGGAUAUGGUGCAUAUCUCCCUAUUCAGAGGAAUGACUGUGCUCCUAAUAAGUCUCAUGAACCAUUCCCAGUUGUCUUGGUUCUCCACGGAGACCAAAGCAAAUGCCAGAGGCAACACCUAAUCAUUAGCAUCAUGUGCCAUUUUUGUCAUGAGUGUGCCCUUGUAUUUUCCUGUCAAGAAUGUCCCAUCUAUAGACAGAACCGGACGACAAUGCUUAAAAGCUGCAAUGCAUGGUCCAAACACCGAAAAGGCACGACGGAACACUCCUUCAAUAUCUUGGAUAUAGUGGUACAUUCCUGGGUUUCUAUAUGACAUCGCUCCCAGCAACCCGGGUAGCAUGUUGUAUGCUUCUUCCCAUCCACCGUACAACAUUCCGAGAGUGACUUGCUUGGCCUUCCAUGUCUUCCCGUACUUGACCUUAUAUCCAAACUUAUCUUCAAACCAACUUAUCAACAACUUCACUUUAAUGGUUGGAUCAUCGGCUAUAUGUUGCUGGUAUUUAUAACCAAUGAAUUCCGAGGUUAGCUGACAGUGUGUCUUUCGUGCUUCUACGGCCGAUAGUGUACAUUGGUGAGUGGCUUUGCAACUAGUUAUCUUCCACCCACCAUCUUUCGUGAGCCUUCCAUUGACUUUCCAUUUGCAUCUUUCUACCUCACAUUUCAUGGUGUAUUGUGAUGUCUACUACACAACCUUCUUCUUGUAGACGUUGUUGGGCCUGCAAGUGCACAGGUUUGUAGGAUAGUAGCAAAUUUCCCUCAAGUGGAUGACCUAAGGUUUAUCAAUCCGUAGGAGGCGUAGGAUGAAGAUGUGCUCUCUCAAAAAACCCUGCAACCAAAUAACAAAUAGUCUCUUGUGUCCCCAACACACCCAAUACAAUGGUAAAUUGUAUAGGUGCACUAGUUCGGCGAAGAAAUGGUGAUACAAGUGCAAUAUGGAUGGUAGAUAACGGUAUUUGUAAUCUGAAAAUAUAAAAACAGCAAGGUAACUAAUGAUAAAAGUGAGCGUAAACGGUAUUGCAAUGGUAGGAAACAAGGCCUAGGGUUCAUACUUUCACUAGUGCAAGUUCUCUCAACAAUAAUAACAUAGAUAGAUCAUAUAACAAUCCCUCAACAUGCAACAAAGAGUCACUCCAAAGCCACUAAUAGCGGAGAACAAACGAAGAGAUUAUGGUAGGGUACGAAACCACCUCAAAGUUAUUCUUUCGAAUCGAUCUAUUAAAGAGUUCGUACUAGAAUAACACCCUAAGACACAAAUAAACCAAAACCCUAAUGUCACUAGAUACUCCAUUGUCACCUCAAGUAUCCGUGGGCAUGAUUAUACGAUAUGCAUCACACAAUCUAAGAUUCAUCUAUUCAACCAACAUAAAGUACUUCAAAGAGUGUCCCAAAGUUUCUACCGGAGAGUCAAGAAUGUGUGCCGACCCCUAUCCAUAGGUUCAUGGGCGGAACCCGCAAGUUGGUCACCAAAACAUACAUCAAGAGGCACAUGAUAUCCCAUUGUCACCACAGAUAAGCACGGCAAGACAUACAUCAAGUGUUCUCAUAAAAGACUCAAUCCGAUAAGAUAACUUCAAAGGGAAAACUCAAUUCAUCACAAGAGAGUAGAGGGGGGAGAAACAUCAUAAGAUCCUGCUACAAUAGCAAAGCUUGGGAUACAUCAAGAUCGUGCCAUAGAGGGAACACGAGAGAGAACACGAGAGAGAGAGAGAGAGAUCAAACACAUAGCUACUGGUACAUACCCUCAGCCUCGAGGGUGAACUACUCCCUCCUCGUCAUGGAGAGCGCUGGGAUGAUGAAGAUGGCCACCGGUGAAGGAUCCCCCUCCGGCAGGGUGCCGGAACGGGCUCCCGAGAGGUUUUUGGUGGCUACAAAGGCUUGCAGCGACGGAACUCCCGAUCUAUCGGACUAUAUAGGUGAACAAAGUCGGUCGGGGGGUGCUCAAGGGGCCCACGAGACAGGGGGCACGCCCAGUAGGGGGGCGCCCCCUUUCUCCUGGGCUCCUCGAGGAUCUUCUGACUUGAUCUCCAAGCCUCUAGGAUGAUAUUCUUCCAAAAAAUCACGAUGCCGAAGGUUUCAUUCCGUUUGGACUCCGUUUGAUAUUCCUUUUCUUCGAAAUACUGAAACAGGCAAUAAAACAGCAAUACGGGCUGGGCCUCCAGUUAAUAGGUUAGUCCCAAAAGUAAUAUAAAAGUGUAUAUUAAAGCCCAUAAUCAUUCAAAAGAGGUAAUAUAAUAGCAUGGAACAAUGAAAAAUUAUAGAUACGUUGGAGACGUAUCAAGCAUCUCCAAGCUUAAUUCCUGCUCGUCCUCGAGUAGGUAAAUGAUAAAAACAGAAUUUUUGAUGUGGAAUGCUACCUAGCAUGAUUCUCAAUGUAAUUUUCUUUAAUGUGGCAUGAAUUGUUAGAUCCAAAUGAUUCAAGAUAAAAGCUUACAAAACAUAAAAAUAAUAAUGCUUCAAAGCAUACUAACAAAUAAUCAUGUCCUAUCAAAAUAGCAUAGCCAAAGAAAGCUUAUCCCUACAAAAUCAUAUAGUUAGGCCAUGCUUCAUUUUCAUUACACAAAAUACUCCCAUCAUGUACAACCCCGAUGACGAGCCGAGCAAUUGUUUCAUACUUUUUAACACGCUUCAGCUUUUUCAACUCUUACGCAAUACAUGAGCACAAGCCAUGGACAUAGCACUAUGGUGGUGAAUGGUGGUGGUUGUAAGGACAAAAAGUGGGAGAAGAUAGUCUCACAUCAACUAGGCGUAUCAACGGGCUAUGGAGAUCCCAUCAAUAGAUAUCAAUGUGAGUGAGUAGGGAUUGUCAUGCAACGGAUGCACUAGAGCUAUAAAUAUAUGAAAUCUCAACAAAAGAGACUAAGUGGGUGUGCAUCCAACUUGCUUGCUCACUUAUACCUAGGGCACUUUGAGGAAGCCCAUCAUUGGAAUAUACAAGCCAAGUUCCAUAAUGAAAAAUUCCCACUAGUAUAUGAAAGUGACAACAUAUGAGUCUCUCUAUCAUGAAGAUCAUGGUGCUACUUUGAAGCACAAGUGUGAAAAAGAGGUAGUAGCAUUAUCCCUUCUCUCUUUUUCUCUCAUUUUUUUUUCUUUUUCUUCUUUCUUUUUCUUUAUUUUUUUUCCUUUUUUUUCCUUUUCUCUUUUUGGUGGGCUUCUUUGGCCUCUUUUAUUUUUAUAAAGUUUGAAGUCUCAUCCUGACUUGUGGGGGAAUCAUAGUCUUCAUCAUUCUUUCCUCACUGGGAUAAUGCUCUAAUAAUGAAGAUCAUCACACUUAUAUGGAUUUACAACUCAAGAAUUACAACUCAAAGCUAGAACAAGAUAUGACUCUAUAUGAAUGCCUCCGACGGUGUACCGGGAUAUGCAAUGAAUCAAGAGCGACAUGUAUGAAAAUUAUGAAGGUGGCCUUGCCACAAAUACGAUGUCAACUACAUGAUCAUGAAAAAAGCAAUAUGACAAUGAUGAUGCGUGUCAUAAUAACGGAACGGUGGAAAGUUGCAUGGCAAUAUAUCUCGAAAAGGCUAUGGAAAUGCCAUAAUAGGUAGGUAUGGUGGCUGUUUUGAGGAAGGUAAAUAAUGGGUUCAAUACCGGCGGAAGUUGCACGGUAAUAAGAGAGGCUAGCAAAGUGGAAGGAUGAGUGUGCGUAUAUCCAUGGACUCACAUUAGUCAUAAAGAACUCAUAUACUUAUUGCAAAAGUCUACUUAGCCCUUGAAGCAAAGUACUACUACGCAUGCCCCAAGAGGGAUAGAUUGGUAGGAAAAGACCAUCGCUCGUCCCUAACUACCACUCACAAGGAAGACAAUCAAAAGAGCACCUCAUGCAACAGAUUUGUCACACAACUUUUACCAUACGUGCAUGCUAUGGGACUUGCCAACUUCAACAAAAGUAUUUCUCAAUUUCAUAAUUACCCACUAGCAUGACUCUAACAUUACUACCUUUAUAUCUCAAAACAAUUAUCAAGCAACAUAUUGAUCAUAGCAUCCAAUUCACUUCCUAUGAUAGUUUCCAUUCAAAUUACCAUGCUGUUUAAGACUCUAAAAAUAAUAUAAGUGAAGAAUGAGAGUUCACUAAUUUCUACAAAAUAAAACCACCACCGUGCUCUAAAAAGGUAUAAGUGAAGUACUAGAGCAAACGACAAACUACUCCGAAAGAUAUAAGUGAAGAUCAAUGAGUAGCUAAAUGAUUAUGCAACUAUGCGAAGACUCUCUCUCAAUAAAGAAUUUCAGAUCUUGGUAUUUUAUUCAAGCAGCAAGAAAAAUAAAAUAAAAUUACAUUGCAAGGAUAGCACAACUCAUGUCAAGAAGCAAAAACUUAGGCUCAACCGAUACUAACCGAUAGUUGUUGAAGAAGAAAGGUGGGAUGCCUACCGGGGCAUCCCCAAGCUUAGAUGCUUGAGACUUCUUGAAAUAUUAUCUUGGGGUGCCUUGGGCAUCCCCAAUAUUGAACUUUUAUGUCUCCUUAAUUCCUAUCAUAUCAUGGUUUCUCUUCUUUUCAAAAGCUUCAUCCACACCAAACUCAACAAGAACUCGUGAGAUAGGUUAGUAUAAACCAAUGCAAAACCAUAUCAUCUUCUACUGUAACAAAUCACUAACAUUAUUAUUCAACAUUGAAUACUAAAUGUUUUGCAUAUUUAAUACUCCUAUCCUCAAAUAGAAUAAUUAAACAAGCAAACAGAUGCAAACAUGCAAACAUAACAGCAAUCUGCCAAAACAGUACAGUCUGUAAAGAAUGCAAGAGUGAAAAUACUUCCCUGACUCCAAAAAUUAUGAACUAAAAUUCCCACUGUAAUAAAUUUAUCAGAGCUUAAUAUGCAAAUAGAUUCAACAUUAUACUAUUCUCUGACUUUUCUAGGGAAUUUUUGCAACAGCGGUAAACUUUCUGUUUUCAAACAGCAACAUGUAUACUAGCAAAAUAAGCAUGGCAAAGGCUAUCCUUGACAUUUUUAUUGAAAAUAAAGAUGCAAAACAUUAUUAUAACUAACAUCAAGCAAAAAAUAUAAAAAUAAAAUUACGCUCCAAGCAAAACACAUAUCAUGUGGCGAAUAAAAAUAUAUCUCCAAGUAAAGUUACCGAUGAACGAAGACGAAAGAGGGGAUGCCAUCCGGGGCAUCCCCAAGCUUAGUUGCCUGGUUGUCCUUGAAUAGUACCUUGGGGUGCCUUAGGCAUCCCCAAGCUUAGGCUCUUUCCACUCCUUAUUCCAUAGUCCAUCGAAUCUUUACCCCAAAACCUGAAAACUUCAACCACACAAAACUCGAAACAAAACUCGUAAGCUCCGUUAGUAUAAGAAAAUAAAACCACUUUAAGGUACUGUAAUGAACUCAUUCUUUGUUCAUAUUGGUGUAAUACCUACUGUAUUCUAACUUCUCUAUUGUUCAUACCACUUAAUACUAGCCAUAGAUGCAUCAAAAUAAGAAAACAACACAAUGAAAACAGAAUCUGUCAAAAACAGAACAGUCUGUAGCAAUCUGUAUCAAACGUAUACCUCUAGAACCCCAGAAAUUAUGAAAUAAAUUUCUGGACCUGAGGAAUUUGUCUACUAAUCAUCUUAAAAAAUAAUUAGCCUAAAAUCACUCUCCAAUAAAAAAUGGCAGCUAAUCUCGUGAGCGCUAAAGUUUCUGUUUCCUACAGCAAGAUCACAUAAACUUCACCCAAGUCUUCCCAAAGGUUCUACUUGGCACUUUAUUGAAACAAGAGCUAUAAAACAUGAUUACUACAGUAGCAUAAUCAUGUGGACACACAAAAACAGUAAGGAUAAAUAUUGGGUUGUCUCCCAAUAAGCGCUUUUCUUUAAUGCCUUUUUAGCUAGGCAUGAUGAUGGCAAUGAUGCUCACAUAAAAGAUAAGAAUUGAAACAUAAAGGAAGCAUCAUGAAGCAUAUGACUAGCACAUUUAAGUCUAACCCACUUCCUAUGCACAGGGAUUUUGUGAGCAAACAACUUAUGGGAACAAUAAUCAACUAGCAUAGGAAGGUAAAACAAGCAUAACUUCAAGAUUUUAAGCACAUAGAGAGGAAACUUGACAUUAUUGCAACUCCUACAAGCAUAUGUUCCUCCCUCAUAAUAAUUUUCAGUAGCAUCAUGAAUGAAUUCAACAAUAUAACCAGCACCUAAAGCAUUCUUUUCAUGAUCUACUAGCAUAGAAAUUUUAUUACUCUCCACAUAAGCAAAUUUAUUCUCAUGAAUAGUAGUGGGAGCAUCAUAAAAGAUUUGAACACUAAAAAUUGUUUCCACAUUAAAAGAGUAAUGUUCAGAAAAAGGGUAAUCAUAAUCAUGACAAGUUUUGUAAAUAUAAUCAUCACUACUUUAUACACCAUAAGUUUCAUCACAAUAAUCAGCAUAAGUAACAACUUCGUUCUCAUCAUAAUCGAUUGAAACCUCUCCCAAGAUAGUAGAAUCAUCACUAAAUAAAGUUGACACUCUUCCAAAUCCACUUUCAUAUUCAUCACAAUAAGAUUCAAUAUCCUCCAAAAUAGUGGGAUCAAUACUACCUAAAGUUGAUUCCCCAAGCUUGUGAUUUUGCAUAACAUUAGCAUCAUGGAUAUUCAAGGAAUUCAUACUAACAACAUUGCAAUCAUGCUCAUCACACAAAGAUCUAGUACCAAACAUUUUAAUGCAUUCUUAUUCUAGCACUUGAGCACAAUUUUCCUUUCCAUCAAACUCACGAAAGAUAUUAAAAAGACAAAGCGUAUGAGACAAACUUAACUCCAUUUUUUUGUAGUUUUCUUUUAUAAACUAAACUAGUGAUAAAACAAGAAACAAAAAGAUUCGAUUGCAAGAUCUAAAGAUAUACCUUCAAGCACUCACCUCCCCGGCAAUGGCGCCAGAAAAGAGCUUGAUGUCUACUACACAACCUUCUUAUUGUAGACGUUGUUGGGCCUGCAAGUGCACAGGUUUGUAGGACAGUAGCAAAUUUCCCUCAAGUGGAUGACCUAAGGUUUAUCAAUCCGUAGGAGGCAUAGGAUGAAGAUGUGCUCUCUCAAACAACCCUGCAACCAAAUAACAAAUAGUCUCUUGUGUCCCCAACACACCCAAUACAAUGGUAAAUUGUAUAGGUGCACUAGUUCGGUGAAGAGAUGGUGAUACAAGUGCAAUAUGGAUGGUAGAUAAAGGUAUUUGUAAUCUGAAAAUAUAAAAACAGCAAGGUAACUAAUGAUAAAAGUGAGCGUAAACGGUAUUGCAAUGGUAGGAAACAAAGCCUAGGGUUCAUACUUUCACUAGUGCAAGUUCUCUCAACAAUAAUAACAUAGAUAGAUCAUAUAACAAUCCCUCAACAUGCAACAAAGAGUCACUCCAAAGCCACUAAUAGCGGAGAACAAACAAAGAGAUUAUGGUAGGGUACGAAACCACCUCAAAGUUAUUCUUUCGAAUCGAUCUAUUAAAGAGUUCGUACUAGAAUAACACCCUAAGACACAAAUAAACCAAAACCCUAAUGUCACUAGAUACUCCAUUGUCACCUCAAGUAUCCGUGGGCAUGAUUAUACGAUAUGCAUCACACAAUCUAAGAUUCAUCUAUUCAACCAACAUAAAGUACUUCAAAGAGUGUCCCAAAGUUUCUACCGGAGAGUCAAGAAUGUGUGCCAACCCCUAUGCAUAGGUUCAUGGGCGGAACCCGCAAGUUGGUCACCAAAACAUACAUCAAGAGGCACAUGAUAUCCCAUUGUCACCACAGAUAAGCACGGCAAGACAUACAUCAAGUGUUCUCAUAAAAGACUCAAUCCGAUAAGAUAACUUCAAAGGGAAAACUCAAUUCAUCACAAGAGAGUAGAGGGGGGAGAAACAUCAUAAGAUCCUGCUACAAUAGCAAAGCUUGGGAUACAUCAAGAUCGUGCCAUAGAGGGAACACGACAGAGAACACGAGAGAGAGAGAGAGAGAGAGAGAGAGAGAUCAAACACAUAGCUACUGGUACAUACCCUCGGCCUCGAGGGUGAACUACUCCCUCCUCGUCAUGGAGAGCGCUGGGAUGAUGAAGAUGGCCACCGGUGAAGGAUCCCCCCUCCGGCAGGGUGCCGGAACGGGCUCCCGAGAGGUUUUUGUUGGCUACAAAGGCUUGCAGCGGCGGAACUCCCGAUCUAUCUUCUCCGUGGAAGUUUUUAGGGUACGUGGGAUUAUAUAGGCGAACGAAGUCGGUCGGGGGGUGCUCGAGGGGCCCACGAGACAGGGGGGCACGCCCAAUAGGGGGGGCGCCCCCUUUCUCCUGGGCUCCUCGAGGAUCUUCUGACUUGAUCUCCAAGCCUCUAGGAUGAUAUUCUUCCAAAAAAUCACGAUGCCGAAGGUUUCAUUCCGUUUGGACUCCGUUUGAUAUUCCUUUUCUUCGAAAUACUGAAACAGGCAAUAAAACAGCAAUAUGGGCUGGGCCUCCAGUUAAUAGGUUAGUCCCAAAAGUAAUAUAAAGGUGUAUAUUAAAGCCCAUAAUCAUUCAAAACAGGUAAUAUAAUAGCAUGGAACAAUCAAAAAUUAUAGAUACGUUGGAGACGUAUCAAGCAUCCCCAGGCUUAAUUCCUACUCGUCCUCGAGUAGGUAAAUGAUAAAAACAGAAUUUUUGAUGUGGAAUGCUACCUAGCAUGAUUCUCAAUGUAAUUUUCUUUAAUGUGGCAUGAAUUGUUAGAUCCAAAUGAUUCAAUAUAAAAGCUUACAAAACAUAAAAAUAAUAAUGCUUCAAAGCAUACCAACAAAUAAUCAUGUCCUAUCAAAAUAGCAUAGCCAAAGAAAGCUUAUCCCUACAAAAUCAUAUAGUUAGGCCAUGCUUCAUUUUCAUUACACAAAAUACUCCCAUCAUGUACAACCCCGAUGACGAGCCGAGCAAUUGUUUCAUACUUUUUAACACGCUUCAGCUUUUUCAACUCUUACGCAAUACAUGAGCACAAGCCAUGGACAUAGCACUAUGGUGGUGAAUGGUGGUGGUUGUAAGGACAAAAAGUGGGAGAAGAUAGUCUCACAUCAACUAGGCGUAUCAACGGGCUAUGGAGAUGCCCAUCAAUAGAUAUCAAUGUGAGUGAGUAGGGAUUGCCAUGCAACGGAUGCACUAGAGCUAUAAAUAUAUGAAAUCUCAACAAAAGAGACUAAGUGGGUGUGCAACCCUGCAACCAAAUAACAAAGAGUCUCUUGUGUCCCCAACACACCCAAUACAAUGGUAAAUUGUAUAGGUGCACUAGUUCGGCGAAGAGAUGGUGAUACAAGUGCAAUAUGGAUGGUAGAUAAAGGUAUUUGUAAUCUGAAAAUAUAAAAACAGCAAGGUAACUAAUGAUAAAAGUGAGCGUAAACGCUAUUGCAAUGGUAGGAAACAAGGCCUAAGGUUCAUACUUUCACUAGUGCAAGUUCUCUCAACAAUAAUAACAUAGAUAGAUCAUAUAACAAUCCCUCAACUCGCAACAAAGAGUCACUCCAAAGCCACUAAUAGCGGAGAACAAAUGAAGAGAUUAUGGUAGGGUACGAAACCACCUCAAAGUUAUUCUUUCGGAUCGAUCUAUUAAAGAGUUCGUACUAGAAUAACACCUUCAGACACAAAUCAACCAAAACCCUAAUGUCACCUAGAUACUCCAUUGUCACCUCAAGUAUCCGUGGGCGUGAUAUACGAUAUGCAUCACACAAUCUCAGAUUCAUCUAUUCAACCAACACAAAGUACUUCAAAAAGUGUCCCAAAGUUUCUAGGAGAGUCAAGAAUGUGUGCCAACCCCUAUGCAUAGGUUCAUGGGCGGAACCCGCAAGUUGGUCACCAAAACAUACAUCAAGAGGCACAUGAUAUCCCAUUGUCACCACAGAUAAGCACGGCAAGACAUACAUCAAGUGUUCUCAUAAAAUACUCAAUCCGAUAAGAUAACUUCAAAGGGAAAACUCAAUUCAUCACAAGAGAGAAGAGGGGGAGAAACAUCAUAUGAUCCAACUACAAUAGCAAAGCUCGGGAUACAUCAAGAUCGUGCCAUAGAGGGAACACGAGAGAGAACACGAGAGAGAGAGAUCAAACACAUAGCUACUGGUACAUACCCUCAGCCUCGAGGGUGAACUACUCCCUCCUCGUCAUGGAGAGCGCCGGGAUGAUGAAGAUGGCCACCGGUGAAGGAUCCCCCUCCCGGCAGGGUGCCAGAACGGGCUCCCGAGAGGUUUUUGGUGGCUACAGAGGCUUGCGGCGGUGGAACUCCCGAUCUAUCUUCUCCGUGGGUGUUUUUAGGGUACGUGGGACUAUAUAGGCAAAAGAAGUCGGUCGGGGGGUGCUCAAGGGGCCCACGAGAUAGGGGGGCGCGCGCAGUAGGGGGGGGGCGCCCCCUAUCUCCUGGGUGCCUCGAGGAUCUUCUGACUUGAUCUCCAAGCCUCCAGGAUGAUAUUCUUCCAAAAAUCACGAUGCCGAAGGUUUCAUUCCGUUUGGACUCCGUUUGAUAUUCCUUUUCUUCGAAAUACUGAAACAGGCAAUAAAACAGCAAUAUGGGUUGGGCCUCCGGUUAAUAGGUUAGUCCCAAAAGUAAUAUAGAAGUGUAUAAUAAAUCCAUAAUCAUUCAAAACAGGUAAUAUAAUAGCAUGGAACAAUCAGAAAUUAUAGAUACGUUGGAGACGUAUCAUAUUGCUUGUUGCAGUCCGAGUGAACAACUAUGAAAGGUUUGUGGUGUUUGACAUCAUACUCACGCAACCACAUCCUAAAUUCUAGCAUGUGCUCGAACAUCAAACCUUUCCUUAUGUACGACAUCGAAAUCUCGUCGGGUGUACUACUUGGGAACUGUCUAGCCUCAAUUGUCUUGCUCAUGCCACCAUCGACUAUAGCCUUAUCUGCAAGGCUAACAUCACAAAACAAGGGAACUUUGUGAUCCCUACCGGUGAUUUUUGUGUACCACUCAGCUUCUUUCUCAGUCAAGCCAGCUUUGCCCAACUCAUCCACCAAGCCUUCAUCAUCCGAGUCAUCCACACAAGCACGCUGAUAGAUAAUGUUAGGAUCCAUGUCCUUACGCCUUACUUCAGCCUCUACGUCACCAACAAUGUUGUGAUGCCUCUCAUACUCUUCGUCGGAGUCAUGACCAUCAUCAUUGAUAGGUGCACUACAUCCAAACUCAUAUUGCGGAUACUCAUUGGCUUCCACUUCAACUUUAUGCUCAACAAUAGGCGACACACUACUAAUCGGUCUCACAUCAUCUACUAAGGUUUGGUUCAACUCAACAUGAAAGAGAGGAGCCUUGACCACCUUAGUGUUGGAAAUAUGCCCUAGAGGCAAUAAUAAAAGUAUUAUUAUUAUAUUUCCUUGUUCAUGAUAAUUGUCUUUUAUUCAUGCUAUAACUGUAUUAUCCGGAAAUCGUAAUACACGUGUGAAUACAUAGACCACAAUAUGUCCCUAGUGAGCCUCUAGUUGACUAGCUCGUUGUGAUCAACAGAUAGUCAUGGUUUCCUGGCUAUGGACAUUGGAUGUCGUUGAUAACGGGAUCACAUCAUUAGGAGAAUGAUGUGAUGGACAAGACCCAAUCCUAAGACUAGCACAAAAGAUCGUGUAGUUCAUUUGCUAGAGCUUUGCCAAUGUCAAGUAUCUCUUCCAUCGACCAUGAGAGCGUGUAACUCCUGGAUACCGUAGGAGUGCUUUGGGUGUAUCAAACGUCACAACGUAACUGGGUGACUAUAAAGGUGCACUACAGGUAUCUCCGAAAGUAUCUAUUGUUUUAUGCGGAUCGAGACUGGGAUUUGUCACUCCGUGUAAACGGAGAGGUAUCUCUGGGCCCACUCGGUAGGACAUCAUCAUAUGCGCAAUGUGACCAAGGAGUUGAUCACGGGAUGAUGUGUUACGGAACGAGUAAAGUGACUUGCCGGUAACGAGAUUGAACAAGGUAUUGGAUACCGACGAUCGAAUCUCGGGCAAGUAACAUACCGAUAGACAAAGGGAAUUGAAUACGGGAUUGAUUAAGUCCUUGACAUCGUGGUUCAUCCGAUGAGAUCAUCGUGGAACAUGUGGGAGCCAUCAUGGGUAUCCAGAUCCUGCUGUUGGUUAUUGACCGGAGAACGUCUCGGUCAUGUCUACAUGUCUCCCGAACCCGUAGGGUCUACACACUUAAGGUUCGAUGACGCUAGGGUUAUAAAGGAAGUUUGUAUGUGGUUACCGAAUGUUGUUCGGAGUCCCGGAUGAGAUCCCGGACGUCAUGAGGAGUUCCGGAAUGGUCCGGAGGUAAAGAUUUAUAUAUGGGAAGUCCUAUUUUGGCCACCGGAAAAUGUUCGGAAUUUUUCGGUAUUGUACCGGGAAGGUUCUAGAAGGUUCCGGAGUGGGGCCCACCUGCAUGGGGGGACCCACAUGGACGUGGGUAGUGGGGGCAAGGCCCCACACCCCUGAUCAAGGUGCACCAAGAUCCCCCCUUAGAAGGAAUAAGAUCAUAUCCCGAAGGGAUAAGAUCAAGAUCCCUAAAAAGGGGGGAUAACAAUCGGUGGGGAAGGAAAUAAUGAGAUUUCUUUCCUCCCACCUUGGCCAACGCCCCAAUGGACUUGGAGGGAAAGAAACCAGCCCCUCCACCCCUAUAUAUAGUGGGGAGGCGCAUGGGAGCUAUACACGAAGUUCUGGCACAGCCCUACCUCUCUCCCUACUCCUCCUCUCCCAUGGUGCUUGGCGAAGCCCUGCUGGAUUGCCACGCUCCUCCACCACCACCACGCCGUUGUGCUGCUGUUGGAUGGAGUCUUCCUCAACCUCUCCCUCUCUCCUUGCUGGAUCAAGGCGUGGGAGACGUCACCGGGCUGUACGUGUGUUGAACGCGGAGGUGCCGUCCGUUCGGCACUAGGAUCAUCGGUGAUUUGAAUCACGACGAGUACGACUCCAUCAACCCUGUUCACUUGAACGCUUCCGCUUAGCGAUCUACAAGGGUAUGUAGAUGCACUCUCUUUCUACUCGUUGCUGGUUUCUCCAUAGAUAGAUCUUGGUGACACGUAGGAAAAUUUUGAAUUUCUGCUACGUUACCCAACAGUGGCAUCAUGAGCUAGGUCUAUUGCGUAGAUUCUUUGCACGAGUAGAACACAAAGUAGUUGUGGGCAUUGAUGUUGUUCAAUAUGCUUACCGUUACUAGUCCAAUCUUGUUUCGACGGUAUUGUGGGAUGAAGCGGCCCGGACCGGCCUUACACGUACUCUUACGUGAGACAGGUUCCACCGAUUGACAUGCACUUGGUGCAUAAGGUGGCUAGCGGGUGCUAGUCUCUCCCACUUUAGUCGGAACGGAUUCGAUGAAAAGGGUCCUUAUGAAGGGUAAAUAGCAAUUGGCAUAUCAUGUUGUGGUUUUGCGUAGGUAAGAAACGUUCUUGCUAGAAACCCAUAGCAGCCACGUAAAACACGCAAACAACAAUUAGAGGACGUCUAACUUGUUUUUGCAGGGUAUGCUAUGUGAUGUGAUAUGGCCAAAAGGAUGUGAUGAAUGAUAUAUGUGAUGUAUGAGAUUGAUCAUGUUCUUGUAAUAGGAUUCACGACUUGCAUGUCAAUGAGUAUGACAACCGGCAGGAGCCAUAGGAGUUGUCUUUAUUUAUUGUAUGACCUGCGUGUCAUUGAAGAACGACAUGUAAACUACUUUACUUUAUUGCUAAACGCGUUAGUCAUAGAAGUAGAAGUAGUCGUUGGCGUGACAACUUCAUGAAGACACGAUGAUGGAGAUCAUGAUGAUGGAGAUCAUGGUGUCAUGCCGGUGACAAGAUGAUCAUGGAGCCCCGAAGAUGAAGAUCAAAGGAGCUAUAUGAUAUUGGCCAUAUCAUGUCACUACACUAUUUGAUUGCAUGUGAUGUUUAUCAUGUUUAUGCAUCUUGUUUGCUUAGAACGACGGUAGUAAAUAAGAUGAUCCCUUACAACAAUUUCAAGAAGUGUUCUCACCUAACUGUGCACCGUUGCUACAGUUCGUCGCUUCUAAGCACCACGUGAUGAUCGGGUGUGAUGGAUUCUUACGUUCACAUACAACGGGUGUAAGACAGUUUUACACAGCGAAAACACUUAGGGUUAACUUGACGAGCCUAGCAUGUGCAGACAUGGCCUCGGAACACGGAGACCGAAAGGUCGAGCAUGAGUCGUAUGGUAGAUACGAUCAACAUGAAGAUGUUCACCGAUGAUGACUAGUCCGUCUCACGUGAUGAUCGGACACGACCUAGUUGACUCGGAUCAUGUGAUCACUUAGAUGACCAGAGGGAUGUCUAUCUAAGUGGGAGUUCAUAAGAUGAACUUAAUUAUCCUGAACAUAGUCAAAAGACCUUUUGCAAAUUAUGUCGUAAGCUCGCGCUUUAGUUCCACUGUUUAGAUAUGUUCCUAGAGAAAAUAUAGUUGAAAGUUGAUAGUAGCGAUUAUGCGAUCAGUAGAAAGCUUAUGUCCUUAAUGCACCGCUCAGUGUGCUGAACCCCAACGUCGUUUGUCGAUGUUGUGAACAUCGGACAUACACGUUUUGAUAACUACGUGAUAGUUCAAUUAAAUGGUUUAAGUAGAGGCACCAAAGACAUUUUCGAAACGUCGUGGAACAUAUGAGAUGUUUCGAGGGCUGAAAUUGGGAUUUCAAGCUCGUGCCCACGUCAAGAGGUAUAAGACCUCCGACGAUUUUCUUAGCCUGCAAACUAAGGGAGAAAAGCUCAAUCGUUGAGCUUGUGCUUAGAUUGUCUGAGCACAACAAUCACUUGAAUCGAGUGGGAGUUGAUCCUCCAGAUGAGAUAGUGAUGUUUCCCCAAAGUCAUUGCCACCAAGCUGCUAGAGCUUCGUGAUUAACUAUAACAUAUCAGGGAUAGAUAUGAUGAUCCUUGAAAUAUUCAUGAUGUUUGACACCGCGAAAGUAGAAAUCAAGAAGGAGCAUCAAUUGUUGAUGGUUGGUGAAACCACUAGUUUCAAGAAGGGCAAGGGAACAAAGGAAUACUUCAUGAAACGGCAAUUCAGCUGCCGCUCUAGUGAAGAAACCCAAGGUUGAACCCAAACCCGAGACUAAGUGCUUCUGUAAUAAGGGGAACAACCACUGGAGCAGCAUUACCCUAGAUACUUGGUAGAUGAGAAGGCUGGCAAGGUCGAUAGAAGUAUAUUGGAUAUACAUUAUGUUAAUGUGUACUUUACUAGUACUCCUAGUAGCACCAGGGUAUUGGAUACCGGUUCGGUUGCUAAGUGUUAGUAACUCGAAAUAAAAGCUACGGAAUAAACGGAGACUAGCUAAAGGUGAGCUGACGAUAUAUGUUGGAAGUGUUUCCAAGGUUGAUAUGAUCAAGCAUCGCACGCUCCCUCUACCACCGAGAUUGGUGUUUGCGUUGAGCAUAGACAUGAUUGGAUUAUGUCUAUCGCAAUACGGUUAUUCAUUUAAGGAGAAUAAUGGUUACUCUAUUUUUGAAUAAUACCUUCAAUGGUCUUGCACCUAAAGGAAUGGUUUAUUGAAUCUCGGUCAUAGUGAUACACAUUUUCAUGCCAAAAGAUAUAAGAUAGUAAUGAUAGUACCACUUACUUGUGGCACUGCCAUGUAAGUCAUAAUGGUAUAAAACGCAUGAAGAAGCUCCAUGUUGAUGGAUCUUUGGACUCACUCGUUUUUGAAAAGUUUGAGACAUGCGAACCAUGUCUAUUGGUGUAUAUGCAUGAAGAAACUCCAUGCAAAUGGAUCGUUUGGACUCACUUGAUUUUGAAUCACUUGAGAUAUGCAAAUCAUACCACAUGGGCAAGAUGACUGAAAAGCCUCAUUUUCAGUAAGAUGGAACAAGAUAGCAACUUGUUGGAAGUAACACAUUUUGAUGUGUGCAGUCGAAUGAGUGGUGAGGCAUGCAGUGAAUAUCAUUAUGUUCUUACUUCACAGAUGAUUCGAGUAAAUGUUGAGUAUAUUUACUUGAUGAAACACAAGUCUGAAUUAUUGAAUGGUUCAAGUAAUUUCAGAGUGAAGUAGCAGAUCAUUGUGACAAGAGGAUAAAAUGUCUAUGAUAUGAUCAUAGAGAUGUAUAUCUGAGUUACGAGUUUUGGCACACAAUUAAGACAUUGUGGAAAUUGUUUCGCAAUUAAUACCGCCUGGAACACCAUAAUGUGAUGGUGUGUCCGAACAUCAUAGUUGCACCCUAUUGGAUAUGGUGCGUACCAUGAUGUCUCUUAUUGAAUUACCACUAUCGUUCAUGGGUUAGGCAUUAGAGACAACCACAUUCACUUUAAAUAGGGCACCACGUAAUUCUGAUGAGAUGACACCGUAUGAAUUAUGGUUUAGAGAAACCUAAGUUGUCGUUUCUUAAAAGUUUGGGGCUGCGACGCUUAUAUGAAAAAGUUUCAGGUUGAUAAGCUCGAACCCAAAGCGGAUAAAAUGCAUCUUCAUAGGAAACCCAAAACAGUUGGGUAUACCUCCUAAUUCAGAUCCGAAAGCAAUAUGGAUUGUUUCUAGAAUCGGGUCCUUUCUCGAGGAAAAGUUUCUCUCGAAAGAAUUGAGUGGGAGGAUUGUGGAGACUUGAUGAGGUUAUUGAACCGUCUCUUCAACUAGUGUGUGACAGGGCACAGGGAGUUGUUCCUGUGGCACCUACACCAAUUGAAGUGGAAGCUUAUGAUAUUGAUCAUGAAACUUCGGAUCAAGUCACUCCCAAACCUCGUAGGAUGACAAGGAUGCGUACUACUUCAGAGUGGUACGUAAUCCUGUCUUGAAGGUCAUGUUGCUAGACAACAAUGAACCUACGAGCUAUGGAGAAGCGAUGGUGGGCCCGGACUCCGAUAAAUGGCUUGAGGCCAUAAAAUCCGAGAGAGGAUCCAUGUAUGAAAACAAAGUGUAGACUUUGGCAGAACGGCUCGAUGGUCGUAAGGCUAAUGAGUACAGAUGGAUUUCAAAAGGAAGACGGACAAUGAUGGUAAAUGUCACCAUUAAGAAAUCUCGACUUGUCGUUAAGAUGUUUUCCGACAAGUUCAAGGAGUUGACUACGAUGAGAUUUUCUCACUCGUAGCGAUGCUAAGAGUCUGUUGGAAUUAUAUUAGCGAUUACUGCAUUAUUUAUGAAAUCUUGCAGAUAGGAUGUCAAAACAUUGUUUCCUCGACGAUUUUAAUGAGGAACGGUUGUAUGUGAUACAACCGGAAGGUUUUGUCAAUCCCAAAAGAUGCUAAUAAGUAUGCAAAGCUCCAGCAAUCCUUCUAAGGACUGGAGUGAGCAUCUCGGAGUUGGAAUGUAUGCUUUGAUGAUGAUCAAAAAUUUUGGGUUUGUACAAAGUUUAUGAGAAACUUGUAUUUCCAAAGAAGUGAGUGGGAUCACUAUAGAAUUUCUAAUGAGUAUAUGUUGUUGACAUAUUGUUGAUCAGAAAUGAUGUAGAAUUUCUGGAAAGCAUAUAGGGUUAUUUUGAAAGUGUUUUUCAAUGGAAAGCCUGGAUUAAGCUACUUGAACAUUGAGCAUCAAGAUCUAUAAGGAUAGAUCAAAAUGCUUAAUAAUACUUUCAAAUGAGCACAUACCUUGACAUGAUCUUGAAGGUGUUCAAGAUGGACCAGUCAAAGAAGGAGUUCUUGCCUGAGUUGUAAGGUACGAAGUUAAGACUUAAAGCUCGACCACGGUAGAAUAGAGAGAAAGGACGAAGGUCGUCCCCUAUGCUUAAGACGUAGGCUCUUCAGUAUGCUAUGCUGUGUACCGCACCUGAAGUGUGCCUUGCCAUGAGUCAGUCAAGGGGUACAAGAGUGAUCCAAGAAUGGCUCACAGGACGGCGGUCAAAGUUAUCCUUAGUAACCAGUGGACUAAGGAAUUUUCUCGAUUAUGGAGGUGGUAAAAGAGUUCGUCGUAAAGGUUACGACGAUGCAAGCUUGACACCUAUCCGGAUAGCUCUGAGUAGAGAGACCGGAUACAUAUAAUGGAGCAAUAAUUUAGAAUAGCUCCAAGUAGAACAGUUGUUUGGAAUAGCUCCAAAUAGAGCGUGGUAGCUGCAUCUAGGAGAUUACAUAGAGAUUUGUAAAGCACACACGGAUCUAAAAGGUUCAGACCCGUUGACUAAAACCUCUCUCACAAGCAACAUGAUCAAACAUAAAACUCAUUGAGUGUUAAUCACAUAGUGAUGUGAACUAGACUACUGACUCUAGUAAACUCUUGGGUAUUAGUCACAUGGCGAUGUGACCUGUGAGUGUUAAUCACAUGGCGAUAUGAACUAGAUUAUUGACUCUAGUGCAAGUGGGAGACUGUUGGAAAUAUGCCCUAGAGGCAAUAAUAAAAGUAUUAUUAUUAUAUUUCCUUGUUCAUGAUAAUUGUCUUUUAUUCAUGCUAUAACUGUAUUAUCCGGAAAUCGUAAUACACGUGUGAAUACAUAGACCACAAUAUGUCCCUAGUGAGCCUCUAGUUGACUAGCUCGUUGUGAUCAACAGAUAGUCAUGGUUUCCUGGCUAUGGACAUUGGAUGUCGUUGAUAACGGGAUCACAUCAUUAGGAGAAUGAUGUGAUGGACAAGACCCAAUCCUAAGACUAGCACAAAAGAUCGUGUAGUUCAUUUGCUAGAGCUUUGCCAAUGUCAAGUAUCUCUUCCUUCGACCAUGAGAGCGUGUAACUCCUGGAUACCGUAGGAGUGCUUUGGGUGUAUCAAACGUCACAACAUAACUGGGUGACUAUAAAGGUGCACUACAGGUAUCUCCGAAAGUAUCUAUUGUUUUAUGCGGAUCGAGACUGGGAUUUGUCACUCGGUGUAAACGGAGAGGUAUCUCUGGGCCCACUCGGUAGGACAUCAUCAUAUGCGCAAUGUGACCAAGGAGUUGAUCACGGGAUGAUGUGUUACGGAACGAGUAAAGUGACUUGCCGGUAACGAGAUUGAACAAGGUAUUGGAUACCGACGAUCGAAUCUCGGGCAAGUAACAUACCGAUAGACAAAGGGAAUUGAAUACGGGAUUGAUUAAGUCCUUGACAUCGUGGUUCAUCCUGUGAGAUCAUCGUGGAACAUGUGGGAGCCAUCAUGGGUAUCCAGAUCCCGCUGUUGGUUAUUGACCGGAGAACGUCUCGGCCAUGUCUACAUGUCUCCCGAACCCGUAGGGUCUACACACUUAAGGUUCGAUGACGCUAGGGUUAUAAAGGAAGUUUGUAUGUGGUUAAAGAAUGUUGUUCGGAGUCCCGGAUGAGAUCCCGGACGUCACGAGGAGUUCCGGAAUGGUCCGGAGGUAAAGAUUUAUAUAUGGGAAGUCCUAUUUUGGCCACCGGAAAAUGUUCGGGAUUUUUCGGUAUUGUACCGGGAAGGUUCUAGAAGGUUCCGGAGUGGGGCCCACCUGCAUGGGGGACCCACAUGGACGUGGGUAGUGGGGGCAAGGCCCCACACCCCUGGUCAAGGCGCACCAAGAUCCCCCCUUAGAAGGAAUAAGAUCAUAUCCCGAAGGGAUAAGAUCAAGAUCCCUAAAAAGGGGGCAUAACAAUCGGUGGGGAAGGAAAUAAUGAGAUUUCUUUCCUCCCACCUUGGCCAACGCCCCAAUGGACUUGGAGGGCAAGAAACCAGCCCCUCCACCCCUAUAUAUAGUGGGGAGGCGCAUGGGAGCUAUACACGAAGUUCUGGCACAGCCCUACCUCUCUCCCUACUCCUCCUCUCCCAUGGUGCUUGGCGAAGCCCUGCUGGAUUGCCACGCUCCUCCACCACCACCACGCCGUUGUGCUGCUGUUGGAUGGAGUCUUCCUCAACCUCUCCCUCUCUCCUUGCUGGAUCAAGGCGUGGGAGACGUCACCGGGCUGUACGUGUGUUGAACGCGGAGGUGCCGUCCGUUCGGCACUAGGAUCAUCGGUGAUUUGAAUCACGACGAGUACGACUCCAUCAACCCUGUUCACUUGAACGCUUCCGCUUAGCGAUCUACAAGGGUAUGUAGAUGCACUCUCUUUCUACUCGUUGCUGGUUUCUCCAUAGAUAGAUCUUGGUGACACGUAGGAAAAUUUUGAAUUUCUGCUACGUUACCCAACACUUAGUUGCAAAGACUUCGAGUGACUUGACUUCCGAGGAUGCAACAACCUCCUUAUAUGCAACCCAAUGCAAAUAUUUGAUAGACAUUGUCUUCAUUCGACACUUGUGUGCCGACCCAACAUCAUAUCUUCCUACUAAUUCAACUUGGUCACUUGCAUCCACCCACUUUAAUCUUAUCGUGUUUCUUCCACAACCUCUUCAUAACUAGGAGUCUCAAGAAAUAUCAACACUUCCUCAUACUUGUCAACAAUAUCCACAUUCAUGAAUGCCUCUUUGUCAACGUAAUGAAUAUUCACAAUCUUGUCCAUCUAAAAAAGGGGAACAUAAGUAUAAGAAAUGUAUAAUGUGAAAUAUACCACAUUGCUAACAAAACCACCAACCCUAACCCUAAAUCUUAACAUUAGGCAUAACCCCAACCCUAAAUCUUAACAUUAGGCAUAACCCAAACAAUAAGGUAUGCCCACCAACAUCACAAUGCAACACUAUUGGAACAACAAUACUCAAGAACAUAACAUUAUAGAUCCAUGUUCAAAACUAGGGUUAGGAACCACAAGAACAAAACAAUCCAAAUGGACAAAUUCAACCAAUAAAAAAUUGUGAGAUGAAGGAGGUUACCUCAACGAACGGAAAUGACACCGGAUCCACCGAUCAACCCAAACGAUUUGCAAGGAUUUAAGGCGGGCUAAGUGAGGGACACAAAGGAAAAAAAAGGCAAGAGCUCGGGAUAGGCCAAUGGGGGAGAAAAAGUGUGUGGUGAGUGGUGGGUGAAAGCCCCAUGACCACCUAAAAUAUCUCCACCAGAAACGCCAUAGAUGUUGGCGUUUGCAGAAACGCUAGCUGCCUCGGCGUUUCCGGCCCACCACGUCAGCAAGCAACGCGUUCUCGGCCUGGCAGUGGGCCAGGGAAGAAACGUCACCUAGGUCAGCAUUUUAGUGUUGAUCAGAAACGCCGCGGGCUCUGGCAUUUCUUAAAGGUUCAAAUCGUGAAAUACUUUCAUGUCGGGUUCAGUUUGCGACAAAAAAUGCUAACAAGGUCAGAACAGUGAUUUCAGCCGAACCUUCCGCCACCGCCGGAGCGGUUAGGGAUAGAAGGGAAGCCGGCGGAUUGGUCAUAGCUGGGAAGGGACCGCUCCGCCUCGCUACUUGCUUUCCAGAGAGAGCGAAAGUUAGAGCAACUCUAACGUGACGACACGUUUCGUCCGCGUGCGUCCGUUUGGGUCGGCGCAGACAGAAAAGUCGGCCCAACGCGCCGACCCAAACUGAUGAGAGUCUGCUUUUCGUCUGCCUGCCGACCCAUUCCCGGCCCAUUUUUGAGUUGGAAUUGUAUCGGCGUGGAUACGCGACGGACGCCCGCGCGCGCCCACCUACUCCUCCCCCUGGCCCGCUGGUCAGUGGCACAUUGGCCAUCCUCUCCCAUUACAACACCAAGCCCUGGUCUGCCUCCUUCGCCGUCGCCACUGCCGCCCACGCCGCCCAUUUCUCUGGUGGCUCUGCCAGCUGCCGGCGCUGCAACAGCCUCUUUGCAACGCUGCCACCUCCCACGCCGCCUGCCACCGCCAUCUUGCCAUCGGGAACCGAAAGCUCCCCCCCUNNNNNNNNNNNNNNNNNNNNNNNNNNNNNNNNNNNNNNNNNNNNNNNNNNNNNNNNNNNNNNNNNNNNNNNNNNNNNNNNNNNNNNNNNNNNNNNNNNNNNNNNNNNNNNNNNNNNNNNNNNNNNNNNNNNNNNNNNNNNNNNNNNNNNNNNNNNNNNNNNNNNNNNNNNNNNNNNNNNNNNNNNNNNNNNNNNNNNNNNNNNNNNNNNNNNNNNNNNNNNNNNNNNNNNNNNNNNNNCGUGACCGCGACCAAGAAGCUGCCUCGCCUUCCCGUCCAGAUCCUCACCAGCACACUCGUCGCCAGGGCAGCUAGCUGGUCCGAGGGCGGCGCGACUCCCUUCGCCGGCCGUCUCCUUCCUCGACGCCUGCAAGUUAUUCGACAGUUUGCCAAUGAUAGAGGACAGGGUCCCGAUCUUUCGAUGAGAUGAUAACUAUCGAUUUGGUGGAGACGACUUUGACGAUCCGACUACAAACGUGCACGAUGUUGCGCCAUAGCAAUCGCUAAACCAAUCUCCUGAGGUUACUGACGAUGCCGGAAGCACGGUCAGCCUGACCACGAAGGUCUAUUCCUGCAAGCAAUCGAAGAACGAGCAAGAAUAUGAUAAAGCAAUCUGAAUAUUGCAAAUAUAUAUGAGGUAUUGGUAAUGGUGGGGAUCCGUAAGCGGUCUUGGUCUGGUCGUUGGAUACAAACGAAGUACACGAAGUUGCAUUGGCUAACUUUUAACUAAACAAAUCCCAAGGAAAAGCUACUAGAUGGAUCUACUUAUAUAGGAGCAAGGGGUGGCGGCCAAGGAGGUGGGAGGACGUCCCAAGGCAGCCUAAAACUAAAUCUAGGUCGUACAAGGCCAAUGGGCCCAAGUGGAGGUGAUGUAACACCUUUGGACUUGUAGUUUGACUCGGAUUCUGCUGCAGCAUCAGAUUGUUUCGUCCACAACUCAACGCUCCGGACGAAUUUGAAGGUGAUUCCAAUUGGGUUGGAAAGUGCACGAAAUCUAGUUUCCAACAAAAAAAAUCACCCAAUUCGGAGUCCGUAUGAAAAACUUGUGUGCGUUUUGAGUCAGGUAUGUCUGUGCAGUCUGAAUCUGAAUCCAGAACGUGAGAGACUUGGACUAUAUCUUCUCUUGGGCCAAAAGUGACGUGAGAGAACUUUUUGGACAGCAAAUAAACAUCUCUUUCUUCCUUAUCUUCAUAUGUGGAUUGUACAAAUGUCCCAUACACCUGCAAUUAGACAAAACACAAAAGUGUGUGAAGUAUUUUUGUUCAGGAUAACAUAAAUAGAUUAUUGAAUAGUUUGCACUAGAAAUCACCUGACAAAUAUGCAUAUAUGCAAUAUUUUUGGUCAUAUCCAAGGUAGUCAUGUUCCUCAUCUAGUGCGGUCAUGUCCUCAUCAGCCAAGGUACAAAAUGGACUCUGCCGACGAGUUCUUUUUUCAAAAUUUCCUUUGCGACUCCGACGGUUCCUCGUCGAUGAUGAGUAGGAGAUCUUGGCUGCCGUGUUGGUCCAUCACCACCUCAAUAGCCAGCGCCUGUCAUGCCGUGGCUUCAUUCCGGGGCACCUUCCGGCGUUGAAUCGCAACCGAGAGAGCGGGAUUUUCCUUCUUUGGAAGCACUACUUUGGCACAACAUCGUAGAAAAUGAGCGUCGAGAAUGUCUCUAUGAUCAAGGGUUUCAGUUUUCGGGUGAGAAUGUUGUGCCUGAGCAUGGAGGAGCAGCAACGUUUGAAUAGUUCAACCAAUUUCAUCAUAACUCACAUGCAACUGCAAAAUGAUUUGGUUGAACAUAUGUGUGCCCAUGUUGGCAACCAAUAGAUGUAUCUUUUUAUUCGGCCUGCAAAAUUAUGUGAGACAUUUUUACUUUUAUUCGGCUUGUAAAACUAUUCUAUUUUAUUCGGGUGAAACUAUGCUAUUUAUUUGGUUGUGGACUAUAUAUUUGCUUGUGAAAUAAUGAAACAGUUGUGUGUGAAAUAAUGAAAAUAUCGUGUUAUUUGUUAAAAAAGGCGAUCAGUCGGCCACGCCGGCACAUAUGGGUCGGCGCGUUGGGCGCAUUGCCGGCCCAAAUCUCAAACAAGUCGGGCAGCCGACCUAAGCGAAAAAAAAA
rnacentral:lncRNA from 1 species